CCCUUUUGCUCUUUGAUCUUCUUCUUCACUUUCUUCUCCAUCUUUUCCUUCUUUUCUUCCUUUCUUCUUCUUCUCCUUUGUCUUCUAGAGAGAGAGAGGGAGAGAAGAGAAUGUGAGAGGGUGAGGGAAUGAGAGAGGAAGACUCUCUCAGCCCCAACAUAACCCUUGGGUUGCAAAAUUGCUAAUAAACCCCUCAAUUUCAUCUUAAUACACUGCCUGGACCAGGCAGUUUUCGCAGGCAGGGACCGGUCUCCCCGAGCAGAGACCGGUUCCCGAACGUUGUCCCAGCGCAGCCAGAGCUGCUGCGCGCAGUGCAACCGGUCUCUCCUUAUGGGACCGGUCUCUGGGGGACCGGUCUCUCAGACAGAGACCGGUUCCCGAGAGCUGUCCUUCCAGGACUUAGCCGAUUUUUCGGCUGUCUCAUUCUGCACGCGUUCGGGGACCGGUCUCUCCCUUUAGGGACCGGUCCCCGAGAGCUGAAAAUCUGCAGUGUUUUGCAGAAUUUGAUUCUCUAGCUCUCGAAAACCUUCCACAACUCACUUUUAGUCAUUUUAACACCUUCGGACUUUCCGAAGUGCACCAUCCUCGCACUUUGGUCAAUUUGACUAAAGUUCGACAUUUUUGUUUUCCGAAUUUUCGGUAUAUUACAUUUUAUGUCGAAUGGUUUUAUGGUUUUGGACAUUGAUUAUAAUAUUAAUAAUAGUGAUUCUUUUUUCCUGCUAUCUUCUGUUGAGAAUAAUCACAAUGUUUCAAUUAAAUGGUAUGCACGUCUUGGUCAUAUUGGGCAGGAUAGAAUGACUAGAUUAGUUAGAGACGGGUUAUUGAGCUCGCUCACUAAAGUCGUCCUACCCACUUGUGAACAUUGUUUAGCGGAAAAAGCGACCCGAAAACCAUUUAAUAAAGCUUCAAGGGCAGAAUUUUCUUUACAAUUAAUCCAUUCCGACAUUUUUGGCCCAAUGAGUGUGAGGGCAAGACAUGGUGCUUUUUACUUCAUCACAUUUAUAGAUGACCAUACGCGCUUCGGUCAUGUUUAUCUGAUCUCCCAUAAGUCUGAAGCAUUGGAUUGUUUUAGACGUUAUAUUAAUGAGGUUGAGAAUCAGUUAGAUAUGAAAAUUAAAUGCUUAAGAACUGAUCGAGGCCGCGAGUAUCUAUCUGAACAAUUUAAGGAAUUGUGUGAUGAAAAGGGAAUAAUCAGACAGCUGACAAUUCCUGGCACUUCGCAGCAAAAUGGUGUAGUGGAGAGAAGAAAUCACACCUUGCUUGACAUGGUUAGGUCAAUGAUGGCGCAAGCAAAUUUGCCUGUCUCUUUUUGGGGAGACGCAUUGUUAACUGCUGCCUACAUUCUUAAUCGUGUACCCUCCAAAACAGUACCUUCCACCCCUUAUGAAUUAUGGACAGGCAGGAAACCAAAUUUGGAGCUCCUGCGUCCUUGGGGUUCGGCAGCUUAUGUACACAAUACUUCUCACAAGGAUAGAAAGUUGGGUCCUAGAGGAAGGAAGUGUAUCUUUAUAAGAUACCCUGAACACUCUAAGGGAUACGUGUUCAUCGGAAAGCAGCCUGAUGGAAGUUUGACUGAGAUUGAGUCACGAGAUGUUGAAUUCCUCGAGGAGGAUUUUCCUUAUAGAAGUGAGGUUCGAAAUGAAACUGAGUUCCAUGAGAUGGAUGACUCUGACAUUGGCGCUUCUAUUCGCUCAGUUGAGGCAGAGGAGGCGACUCCGAUACCUCAUGGGGAUAGUGGGAGCGACUUACCUUUUGAUGUGGAGCCUCAACUUCGUAGGAGCGCACGUGUAGGCAUUCCCCGUCGUCGUUUUGAGAUUGAGGGGGAAGCUUUCAUGGUUGCUGCACAUGAUGAUGAUGAGCCUAGAUCCUUCCAAGAGGCUCUCUCAUUACCUACUCAUAAGGAAUGGAUGGAUGCAAUGAUGGAGGAAAUAGAAUCGAUGAAGUCAAAUCAUGUCUGGGACUUGGUUGACUUGCCACAAGGGCGCAAAACAAUUGGGAAUAAAUGGGUUCUCAAGAUUAAGCGCAAAGCAGACGGUUCUAUCGAUAGGUACAAAGCUCGCCUGGUAGCAAAGGGUUUUACCCAACGAGAAGGCGUUGAUUACGAGGAAACCUUUUCGCCUGUCGUGAGGUUUGCUUCGAUCCGCUUAAUCUUGGCCAUUGUCACGUAUUUGGAUUUGGAUCUUUACCAAAUGGACGUUAAAACUGCAUUUCUCAAUCGAGAUCUGGAUGAGGAGAUCUAUAUGGAUCAGCCUACUGGCUUCUCUGUAAAGGGUGAGGAGUAUAAAGUUUGUAAGCUCCGACGAUCCAUUUAUGGAUUGAAGCAGUCCUCCAGACAGUGGUAUAUUCGAUUUCAUCGAGCCAUCACUGAAGAUGGGUUUACGAUGAUUGAAGAAGAUCACUGUGUGUAUGUUAAACGGUCCAAAGAAUUUUUUCUAACCCUUUCUUUAUAUGUGGAUGACAUCUUAUUGGCCGGGAAUAAUAAGGAGAUGAUUGUCGCCACUCAGACGUGGCUGUCGCUCUUAUUUGAAAUGAAGGACAUGGGUGAAGCGAAUUAUGUGCUCGGAGUUAGAUCCUAGGUACGAGAUCAUUCAAAGAAACUUUUAGGUAAUGUCUCAAGGAGACUUACCUCUAAGAAAAUAGAGAACGAUUUCAGAUGCAAAAUUGCAAAACCAUUGACACUCUAUUGCUAAAGGUGAGAGUUUGACCUUAAACGUGCCCUAAAACUUCUGAAAGAAGGACAAGAUGAAUCGGAUUCCAUAUGCUAACGGUCGGCGGAGCUUGAUGUAUGCUAUGAUGUAUUCAGCCUGAAUAUGCUAUGCCGUGGGCUUGGUUAGCGUUUCAGUCCAAUUGGGAUUGGACCACUCGAUGGCUAGUGGCGCAGAAGAAAUAAUCCUGGAACACAUAUCUACGAGUCGCGUGGUUGUAGAUUCUCAUAACUAUGCCUGUUGUUAGAGAUUAUUUUUGACUCUAUGUUAAAAGCUCUUGGAUCCGUAGGAUUUGAUUGUUGUAGACAUCGAUUAUUUGUAGUUUCUUGGUUAUUAAUUACAAAUUAUUUUUUGGAAAGAUAUUUGGUAAAAUGGUACACCGUGCAUUGUUAUUAAAUUGAUUGAUAGUAUGUCACAGGUGUUGGCCCUCUCACACGGUAAUCAUUCUUUCGGCACUGUAGAGAGCGAGCGAAAUUGAGGCAUUAAUGCAAGGCCGCCUGGUUGAGCCAAGAUGAGGUCAUUAAUGGACCGCAUACGAUAGUCCCACGAUUCGUAUGGCCUGCAUAUUGAGAGCGAUGUGAGUCUCACUGAUUUGACCUGAGAUAGCGAGAAAUGGAGAACUCAGGCUAGACUCUCUGGAGUGACUGAGCUAAGAUCCGUUAUAACAUGAGAAAGAAUACGCCUAAUUGGAUUCUCUGUCAUAGCAUGUAUUUCAUAUACAUGUGUGGGCGACUAAAUAAAGAAGAUGAGUGAAUGGAUCCCUGCUUCCUCAUCGUGUGAGUUCUUACGGGCAUUUUUUGGGACGUUGUCUCUAUAUAUGAUAGAUGCCAUUAGUGACUUUUGACAUAUGUCAUUAAGUGAAAGAAUUGUAUGUUGCUACUUUGGCAUGUUUCUACGGCCAUGAGUGAUGCGACUUUACGGGGCAUUGCUGGAAAGCAAUCAGUUUCAACUCGGUGGCAUGAGGCUCAAGGAAGACUAGUUGAAUUACAUUAAGACACUUUGACUCAUGUGUCGACGGGUGUGUGUCGCUUCAGCAUAGCGAAACAUCAUGAGUAUAGUGUCAUAAUAUGCGCAAUUGUGGUAGCAUGGCUCUUUGAGGGAUUAGAGAUGCGAACCUGAUGUAAUUCAAUGGCCUGGGGCAUCACGAGUCUAAUAUUUUUCCUUUUGAGGGUGAUGUCUCUAUGCUGGCCGAUGCGGUUUCUAGUAUAGAGCUCCCAAAAUGCAGGUUGACUAGGCGGUCGCACUGUUCAUUUCCCUAUAUGAAUAGAAUUAAUAGUGGUGUGAUGUUGAGGAAGUGGUUACAAUGGCAAGCGCGCGCCGUCAUGUGCGAGUGGAGAUGUUGCAUCUUCCGGUUAAAUCGAAUCGGGAUACGCCAAUGAAGCGUGGUUCGUCGCGACGGAUAUUAUGUUAUCUAAUUGGAUUGGAAUUAAUUUUCUCGCGUAUUCAAAUUGGUAAGGUUAGUUAAGAGAUGAAAUCCAGCUAGUCAUAUUAGGAUAACANNNNNNNNNNNNNNNNNNNNNNNNNUAUCAGAGUCUUUUAAUACUUUUAACCUCCUAUUCAGUCUUUAUAAAAAUACUCCGAUCAAAAUUUCAAAGUAUAAAAAGACUGUGGGCAUCUCACUCUUUAUUUUAGGCUCUCAAUAGAUUAUUUCUAAUGUCAAGCCGUGUCAAAAGCCACUGGUUGAACCCAGCUUUGACUUUUGAAUUUUAUAUAAGAAUGAGUCAUGCAAUUUGACUCGGACGGACAGUUUAAACUCGAGUUUGCCUGUAAGUCUUCCCGAGGUUGACAAGGCUUGACGUUUUUGACGGACUUCACUUAUAACAAAACCACAACUGAACUCUCCUUACAACUGGAAGAAGAAGGAGGGAGUUGGUCGGUUGUGUGUGUGUGUGUGUGUGCUGUGUGUGUGGGCGUACCUCUCCCUCUCUCUUCGAGAGGAAGGAGAGAGAUCUAUAGAGAGAGUAGAGAGAUUUAGAGAGAGAUUUUUAACCUCCCAACCACCUCUUCUACGAACGCUUGUGCAACCUCCGCUGCCUAGCCCGAAAGCACGCCGGCAACCUCGCCACACAACAGCAGCGCCGCAAGUGUAUUCACAAAAUUAUCGGAGAUUACUCGAAACAAUCGUACAACGAUGUAAAUUAAAUCUAAUAAACCUCCAAUUACCGUAGAUCCCGAGUUUUUACCCUAAAACAUUUUAUACUCCCAAACUAGAUUAAACUGGGAGACAUUUGGAUUAACGAUCCAUUUGCUUGCGCAACCGCUUCUGCCAAGCCGCUAAGCAGCUCGGCAACGCUUCAAUAAUUUUUUUACCUACAAAUCGGAAGCAAAAGCGGACCUCCCGGCUCCGCUAUAGCAUUUAAGUACUUUAACCUAAACUUCGUAGCACCGUGUAUUGGCUUCUGGAAAUUAAAAGCCUAGCACUUAACCUCCGGUAAGCCCACCAGCGCGCUCUCUAGCCCGGUUUGGCCCACGGCCCACGGCGCCCUCCGGCUAACGUUCACAGUUGUUCGUUAGCCUUUCGCUAAACUCCACCCAACACAAAUGGCUUCGCUGAACCAGCGGGGUGUACAGUUUCGCUUUACACCUUAGAACAACUACGUAUACACAUACACGUAUGCCGUAUAAUCGUAACAUAUUUACGUACGAUCAACCAUUAAACGUAUAAUCAUACAUACGAAUCACUUUAUGUACGAUCCCCAUAAAUCGUAAUACUCUAAGUACAACUGUACAUAAUUUUUUGCACUCGUAUAUUUACUUACAAUUGUACAACAAUUAAUAUACUCAAUACUCUUUAACGAUUUACACCUGUGUACAAUCUACUGUUAUUCGUAUAACUGUAAUACUUUUACGUAUGAUGUCCUAUUAACGCAUUAUUCCGUAAUCCUUUCAUGUACGAUCAACAUUACAUACAACCGUAACUCUCCUACGUACAUCAAUUGUAAUUUUCUUACGUACAUUUACUGUACUACAUUUUCGAUCCGUUUACGAACCAUACCAACGAUAUAUUAUUAAUAGCAUCUUACGUACUACUUAUACGAUACAUUUACGAUUUACUAACGUACUUAACCUAGCUAUUGAGAUACUAUCUCUGGAACUAUAACCUGUAGAUAUAUAUAAUCUAGCUCACCGUGAAUUGGAUCUCAAUCCUUGGAUCCAACUUGUACCUACUAUACUUGGAUCACACUUAUUUGUAUCCAACCUGUACUUGGAUCACAGUUUCUUGAAUCCAACCUUAAUACACACCGUAAUUUGGAUAACAAUUUCUUGUAUUCAGCCUGAACCUGUUAUCAUUUGUUCCCACUGUUAUUUUUAUCUCUGUACUAACCGUAGUUCUUUCACCAACAAUUUAUAUCAAAUUGGUAUAACUGUAACCAGGUUCAACUGUAUCUCUCACCGUACUAAUUUAUCCAUCUUUUGGAUAAUACUGUUACCGUAACACUGCUCACCGAUACUUAAGAGUUCAACUCCUAACCUAGCUAUGAGUGCAAUGCAGAACCGAACUCCCUCCAUCGAGGGGGAGCCCGCCACGCGAGGCUUCAACCAGUGGUGACCCGCACCAUUUCAGGGGGGUCUACUGCCAGGGGUCCCUCCAAACUCAGGGGGCAAUAAUUCCCUAAAACCAACACUCAAUAACCCCAAUUGUACCAAUUGGCCAUUAUAACCCAGUAUCGGUUUACUUACAUGUUGUUCAUAUGUAAUACUCAAUACUUAAACCAUAAGGUCAGCUCUCCUAAAUCCCGACUCCACAUACACUCUGCAGGUAGCGGAGCUCGGACCAAGAUCACGCCAUGAGGCGUCUGCUAACUGAGUUCUGGCUCAGCCCACCAAUCGGAACAUUUCCAUCUACUUUGAAAUACUAAUUUUGUCACUAACUGUUCUUAGAUUUUAUCUCCUUUGGAAUCUAUAGUUUCCCUACUCGAUACCAAUCGUCUUACCUUUCAUCAUAGCUCACUUGAUGAUCAACCAACGUAAUAACGUACUAAACGUAUAUCGUAACGUAAUAAUGCAAACACUCCGUUACGUACCAAAAUAAACAACGUAUUAGUUCUAUAUAUAUAGAUAGACAAAUAAUUUGAUUGGACGUCAACGGAGGAAACAUGGACAACCAGCUCGUAAAGGGAACCCACCGGCAUGGGUGACCCUUGGUACCUCAACCAAGAGUGGGGUGCACCAAAACCCCACAAAUGUCCAAGCGUGCACUCGCCGCGCCGCCGCGCUCCGUUCCCGCAUCGUAGUAUCAAUCGCGGGAUGGUGGCUCUGGUCUCUAUCGCCAUGGGACUCAGCCGGAAAUGAAUCCCUACAUUCUUUUACCUUCCUUAUUCUAACAUUAUUAGUACAAUUUAGCCUAACAUAAACCUUCAAUUUACAUUAUUCAUAAACCCUACAUUUUACAUACUUAUACUUACGUACAAUAUUGUAUCCUACACAAUAUAACAAACUAUGGAAGGUAAUACGUUAGAACUAACUUUACACAAGGACCAACCUUGAAGCAUGUAACAUAACUAACGAUACGGAACUUGCAAGUCCCCUCUGAGACAGGCGUCAUGUCCCCUUUGGGACAGGCAAGCCGCUAAACAACCGCCGCGGCGCUGGAUCGGUUUAUCCAACCGCCAGCGCCCCGCACUUACUGGAACUUCCAGCGCCCAGCGUUGGGCGCGAGUUUGUGGAGGCGAGCCAGGGAUAGCGGCACUUGGUUCAGGCCGUGCGUCAAUUAGUACACGCACUUAAGGGAAAGCAUGAGGGCGUGGCAAGCCGAAGACAUCUUGCGUCGCCUUCAUAAGCCAAGCAUGGAAAAAGCCUUCGCUAAGCUCGACCUAGCCUAUCUAACUAAAUGCACAGGAACUUAGAAGGAACUUUUAGAAGAUUGAGGGGUUUGAGCGCCACCUAGCUUGAUGUUUGCUCGCGCUAGCGUUUAGGUGGCACGUUCAGGGAAAUCUUAUUAUCCAGUUACCUCCUACACCAAAGAGAGAUAAUAAAAGAAUAAGAGAGAGAAAAAGGUAAGAAAGGCAUAUAAAGCAAUAUACCCUAGCGGGCGUAUAAAUAUUCCCUAAGGUUUUAGGAAUACCGCAAUCUCUAUUCCGGUUUAGCCAAUAAUUAACAAUAGGAUUAUACUGAUCCUAAAUAGAGAUUGAUUGAAAGGUUAAACUUUCGCUCUAAUUAAGGUUAGGUUAAUCUAUUGUAUUAUAGGCAGCGCAUUUUCUGCUAAUUUAUCUGUCCCGUUUCCAACAGAAAAUUCUAGAUCUUCUGUUUUCAUUCCGAUUUCGGCACAAGUCACUUCUGACUUAUGUUUUACUUCCACAAAUUCAAUAAAAAUAGUUUCUCACACUAUUUUUAUUUAUUUUUAUUUUUAUACCAAAAUCUGGUAUGUUACAGAUGAUCAGAAGACCGCGUUUCGUACGCAUUAUGGACACUAUGAGUAUGCGGUUAUACCUUUCGGGCUCACUAAUGCCCCGGCAGCAUUCAUGGAUUUAAUGAACCGUGUGUUCAAAGCGUGCCUGGACCGAUUUGUCGUGGUCUUCAUAGACGACAUCUUGGUCUAUUCGCGGAGCGACGAGGAGCACGCGGAGCAUUUGUGGAUAGUGCUUCAAAUCCUUUGGGAGGAGAAGCUAUUCGCAAAGCUUAAGAAAUGUGACUUCUGGCUUCGAGAGGUUGCCUUUUUAGGGCAUGUGAUUUUCGAGGGCGGUGUUUCGGUUGACCCGAGGAAAGUCGAAGCGGUCGAGAAGUGGCCAUGCCCGACGAACGUCACGGAGGUCCGAAGCUUUAUAGGCUUAGCGAGCUAUUAUCGACGGUUUAUGGAGGGCUUUUCGAAGAUUGUGACUCCGCUUACCGGUUUGACACAAAAGGGCGUCAAGUUUAUUUGGAGCGACGAGUGUGAUCGAAGCUUCAACGAGUUGAAGAAAAGAUUGACAUCGGCUCCGAUACUCGCCUUACCGGUGCAGGGCGAGGACUUUGUGGUUUAUAGUGAUGCAUCCUAUCUGGGUUUGGGGUGUGUCCUGAUGCAAGGCGGGAGAGUGAUAACUUAUGCAUCCCGUCAGCUGAAGGACAACGAGAAGAAUUAUCCCAUUCAUGACUUGGAGUUGGCGGCGGUGAUCUUUGCGCUGAAACUGUGGAGGCACUAUCUGUAUGGUGCGCACUGUGAGAUCUACACCGACCACAAAAGUCUGAAAUAUCUGUUUACCCAGAAGGAGCUAAACAUGCGACAAAGGCGGUGGUUAGAGCUGUUAAAGGAUUACGAUGUUGACAUUCUCUACCACCCCGGCAAAGCAAAUGUGGUCGCGGAUGUGCUUAGCAGGAAGUCGGCAAAGAACCUCGCUUUUGACGUCACCCAGCAAACACCCCUGUGGCUGGAUAUGGCACAACGUCGAGGAAGGUCGAGGCGGCGAUUUCAGUAUGGACGCCAGUGGCGCGCUUCAGUUUCGAAACCGGUGGUGCGUGCCCGAAAGUGAAGAGCUUCGUGAGCUAAUUUUGCAAGAAGCCCACCGGUCUCCAUACGCGGAUCACCCGGGCGGCACCAAGAUGUAUCAUGAGUUAAGAGCACUCUACUGGUGGCCGGGGAUGAAAGUUGACAUUGGACGCUUCGUGGCAAAGUGUUUGACUUGUCAGCAGGUGAAAGCGGAGCGCCGGUUUCCAGCGGGAAAACUUCAAAUUCUACCUAUCCCCGUCUGGAAAUGGGAGGAUAUAUCUAUGGAUUUCGUCGUUGGCUUGCCUCGCUCGACAGGGGGACACGACGCAAUAUGGGUGAUUGUGGAUCGCUUGACGAAGUCAGCUCACUUUUUGCCGAUCCACACCACCUGGGCAGGAGACAGGUUGGCGCAGGUAUAUCUCGAUGAGAUAGUAAGGCUACAUGGGGUACCGAAGUCAAUUAUGUCGGAUAGAGACCCCAAGUUUAUUUCACAUUUCUGGAGAAGCCUGCAGGAGGCCCUUGGCACACGGCUCGAUUUCACCACUGCAUUUCAUUCCCAGACAGACGGACAAACUAAAAGGACUAUUCAGACUCUGGAGGACAUGUUGCGAGCGUGCGUCAUUGACUACAAAGGAGGCUGGUGUAAGUAUUUGCCCAUGGUCGAGUUCACCUACAACAACAGUUAUCACGCUAGUGUGGAGAUGGCACCGUUCGAGGCUCUUUAUGGGUGGAAGUGCCGAUCUCCCAUUUAUUGGAGCGAUGUGGGCGAGCGUGCGGAAUUCAGCCCCGAUGUGUUGCGAGAGGCGGAAGAAAAGGUUCGCCUUGCUCGCAAACGGUUACUCACGGCGCAGUCUUGACAGUAGAGCUAUGCGGAUAGGCGCCGGCGAGAUUUGGAAUUUGCGGUGGGCGACCGCGUUUUCUUGAAGGUCUCACCUAUGAGGGGCGUUAAGCGAUUUGGAGUUCGGGGAAAGCUAAGUCCCCGAUAUAUUGGCCCCUACGAGAUCUUGGAGCAGAUUGGGACAGUGGCUUAUCGACUCGCGUUGCCGCCAAAGCUCGCGGAUGUGCACAAUGUAUUCCACGUCUCCAAUCUUUGCAAAUAUAUUCCUGAUCCCGAGCACGCGAUGUUAUAUGAGCCGCCGGAACUUCAGGGAGACCUAAGUUACGAAGAAUUCCCGGUGGCAAUUACUACUCGUGAAGUGCGCAAGUUAAGGAGUCAAGAAAUUCCUUAUGUUCGAGUCCGGUGGAGCAAUCAUAAUGAUCGCGAAGCCACCUGGAAGCUCGAGAAGGAGAUGAAGGCGAAUCAUCCUCGCCUAUUCGAGAAUUAAAUCGAGGUAUGGGUCUAGAAUUUGGAGUCCUAAUUAAAGUUAUGUAGCAUUGAGUUCGUUUCGUGGACGAAACUCUUUUAAAGUGGGGAGGCUGUAAGGAAGUGAAUCCUCGAAAUCUAAGGAUUAGACUUCGAUUGGAAUCGACUAUUCGUCGAGUGUGUAGGCUUCGAAAAGCCCGAAGGUGAUUAUAAUGCAUAAAGUGAAUUAAGGAAGGGUCCACAAGAGCUCCAGUGCAAAAUCUGCACUGGAGCAGAAAUGCUCUCGGGGACCGAUCCCUGGCAUCGAGGGACCGGUCCCAUCAGGCUGGGUGCGGGGGUCUCUGAUGAGACCGGUCCCUGGCAGGCAGGGACCGGUUCCCGAAUGUUGGCCCAGCAAAAAUAGCCGAAAUUUGGCUAAGUCCCGAAAACUCUACUCUCGGGAAUCAGUCUCUCGGGUAAGGACCGGUCUCCCGGGGACCGGUCUCUCAGGCAAAGACCGGUUCCCGAACGCGAAAUCCCCUCUGCCUGAUUGUGCAGCUUUCGGGGACCGGUCUCCCCGAGCUGGGACCGGUCCCUCACUGCGAAAAUGCCCAGAGAGGGAUGGUUUGAAGGAUGAAAAGUUGAGGGGGCUAUCUGCAAAAUGGCCUUUAAUUGAGGCUGGGGGACCUCUUCUCUCCCUCAUUGCUCUCACACUCUUGCUCUCUCUCUCUCUCUAGGAAUAAAAGAAGGAGAAGAAGAAGGAGAGGAAGAAGAGGAAGGAAAAGAAGUAGGAGUGGAAGGAGAAGACAAAGAAGAAGAAGAAGAAGAAGAAGGUCUUCUUCCCUCUCUCCUUCAAGCUAGAGCAAGCUUGGAGCUUUAGAUAGAGGUAAGCUCUAAACCCCUUUAAUGGUAUUUCUAGGGUUUGGAGGUUUUAUGGCUUAGAAAUGGUUCGAAUGGAACCUAUUGAAGCUAGGGAGAUGGUUCGAACUCGAAAUCGAAGCUCGCACCACGGAUUUCUCCCUCAUCGCCAUUCUAGGGCUCGAAUUUGAGAUUUUUGAAAAUCUAGGGUUUUGAUCUAAUCUGAUGGGUCGCAAACCUAAUUGCUAGGUCCCUGAACGCGUCGGCGAAGACGGUUCGUCGAUCCGUCGAGUGGGUACGAAGUUAUCGCCCAAAGAGACCCUCGGAGCGUCAUUCUCGCCUGGAAGGCCAACAAGGCGUCGAAACAUCGGCGAAUCGCAUUCGAAGGGUCGCGGCAUCACCAAGAGGUGGGUGGUGUCCAUCCCGAAGCAAUCGGGCUCCCUUUUAUGCCUUAGUAUUUUGAGAUCUUGCAUCCUGUGUUCACAUGCAUUAUAGGAUAGUGUGCAUAGCCUUUCCUUAUGCUUUCCCAUUUGAUGCUAUAUUAUGUAUGAAUUGCUGGAUAUAGGGGAUUGAUGAGGAUUGGGUCGAGACUUAUAAUCCUAUAGUGCGGCGAUGAAAGAAUGAUGCAAGGGUUAAAGCAAAGGAACAAAUGGUAUCUAGUUGUUAGUAAACAAAAGAAUGAGUGGCAUCUAGUUAUUAAUAAACAAAAGAACGAGUGGCAUCUAGUUAUUAAUAAACAAAGAACGAGUGGCAUGUAUGAGUUGUAGCGUAUAUGGAACCCAUUGACUAUGGCGACAGUAACCCUAGAGGAUAGGGCACCCUUGAGGUUGGAGAUUGAGAUCAUACUCAUUGUCUGCUCCUAACUUGUGAUGGUCGCUCCACACAAGUAGUGCGCUCCGGAGUCGGUCACGAGGGAUAGCCUAUGUGGGGUCCCUUGGGAUAGGGAUAGCCUAUUUGGGGUCCCGAGGGAUAGCCUAUGUGGGGUCCCGCAGACGGUCUCGGAUUCAUAGUAUCGAGAUGGCUAUAUGAGUAGUGGGCGGAAUCCUUGAAUGAGCCACGAGGUUAAUGAACGAGUAAUAGCUUUACUUCUUGGGCAUAUGAAGAGCUAGUUGAAUAUUUAUUUCAUUGUGCAUGCAUCCAUCGUAUACCUGAUUCGGGCACAGUAGCGUAGUUUUAUUAUCUGCUUCUACAGCUUUGAAUAUCUAUCUAUUUGUUUAUCUACUCGUGCCCACUUCGACCUAGUGGGGAGACCGGCGGAAUCGGCGGCCGAACCCACUGGGAACUAUGGAAGAUAGUUCUCACCCCACUUUUUACAGGUCCGAGUUCGAGCGUCCCGGGCGAGCGCGAGGAUCGCGGUAAGGGCCUAGCGCCCUAGUUGCAUUAGCUACCUGCCCUUUUGCAUUAGCUCUACCCUGUAUUUAUGUUUGAGAGUAGAUGUUGUAUAGGGUGAGGUUUGAGCGUUGUACUUAUGUUUUGGAAGAAUGUAAAGAAUGGGAUUAAAUGUAUUAUGUUGAAUGAAUGUAAUAGAUAGAACCUUCUCUCUUUAUGUACUUGUAUAUUUCCAUACUUGUAUCUUGCUCUCGUUUUGUUAGCACUGGCGGUGCUUCUUGUGACUGUGUAUUUAUGAAUUGAUUCCUGGGUAAAUUUUUAUGCAUGGUCCGUUGGUUAGCCAGCGGCGGACAGGGGAGGUCCUGUCCGUUCGGCAUCUGUUUGACGCGCCCGGACCGGACCAAAUUGGUAGCGGUCUCGGAGCGUGACAGAUAAAGUGGUAUUAGAGUGUAAGAGCAAGUAAAGAUAGAGUCUAGGAUGACUUAGGAGACCCUAGGUUGGUAAACCCUAAGGUUAUAGGGACGUGAGUGAACGUGAAUCCACGGUGGUUGCGGAAGUUGGUCGAUUGGGUCGAAGUUGAUGUUAUGUCUCUAGCUGUGAAUAGAGACGGAUCCAAGUGACACUAGUUUCUUGGCUCGUAGUGGUUGUGUCGGCGGCUGACGACGCAACACUAAGAGUCCAGCACUAGAGCACUUGCGAGCUUCCACUCGAUUUCGUUGUCGGGUCGUUUAAUUUCGUGAACGUUGAGAAGUUAUCAGAUUAAGAUAACUAAUCGAGUUGUUGCUUUUCAGGCGCAAAUGUCCCCAAGACGAUAUGUGCGUAGGUCUACUCCGGUACCGCCUUCUGCAGAGCCCGAGCAGCCAAGAUCGGAGGAAAUGCAGGAGCUGCGGGAGCAGGUUGCUGCGGUGUUCGGCGCGAUGCAGCGCUAGGAGGCCCGGUUCGAGCAGCUCCAGGAAGUUGUGGAGCGGCAAGCGGCGGCGGCAACGUCGGCCGCGACAGCGAUGGAGGAUCGUGAUCCACCCACACCUUCGGCGCGCGCGCCAGAAGCGGCCGAGGGUGAGGGCAUAGCGACGGUUCCGGUGGUGGCGGUUCCUCCGCCAGCAAGAGUACCUCCAACAGCUUCGGUUUCGGCGACACUUGAUACGACGACCGACGAAGUGGAGCGGGAGCGUACGCUGACAGCUCUAAUGAAGUUCAUGAAGUUUAAACCACCAACCUUUGAAGGGGGGAGAGUGGAGCCAUUGGUGGUGGAGUCCUGGAUUGACUCUAUGGAGACCCUCUUCGAGGACCUAUACACCCCGGAGAAGGAUAAGGUGCCCCUCGCCACCCAUUGCCUCGACAAGGCGGCGAAGGUGUGGUGGAAGCGGUUGAAGCGGGAUCGACCCUUCGACCUUCCCCCAAUGCUCUAGGAGGUGUUCAAGAGGGAAAUGUUUGGAAAUUACUUUCCCGACACCGAGAAGCGGAAGUUAAAGGAGAAGUUUCGCAAACUGAGACAAGGGGAUCGUUCCGUAGCGGACUACGAGCAGGAGUUUUCCCACAUUAUAGAUUGUGUCCCAGACGUGGUCAAGGAUGACGGGAACAGGGCUGAAUGGUUCUUGCGGGGACUUCGGCCAUGGAUAUACCGGGCAGUGCAGUUGUUCAAGCUCACAACUUUUGCCGAGGUUUUCGACAGAGCGCUGUGGGCAGAGCAUGGGGAUGCCCACAUGCAGGAGGAACAUGAGUUGUUGGCUGGAUCCUAGGACAAGAGGAAGAAGCGAUCGGGCGGCGGUUCAGGAGGACAAUCUAGUUCAAGGAGGCCCCCGAUGUAUCCGCGGUCGCAGUCGUGGGGCCGUGGGCCACAACGGUGUGCUAUCUGUGGUGUUGGGGGUCAUCGAGCGCCACAAUGUAGGCAGUGACAGGGUCUGUAACAUACCAAAUCCCUCGUAAAUCGUACCGAGUUCCGUCAAAACGAGCGGAACGCGGAAUUGAACUAGUUAGAAUGGACCCUAAGUGUAUUAGAGUUCAUAAACGGAGCUAAAAGGGACCCGAGAGAGCAAAUCUGAAAAUCUGGCUAAGUCCCACAUUUUGAGCUCUCGGGAACCGGUCCCUGAAGGAGAGACCGGUCCCCGUGCGCGUAGCCUGCCAAGAAGUCCUGAGGCAUCCAGUCCUUGGUGGUGAGACCGGUCCUCGGGAGACUGGUCCCUGAUGGACAGACCGGUCCCUGAUGGCUAAGUCCUGGAAUACCCACGUUCGGGAACCGGUCCCUGGUCGGAGAGACCGGUCCCCGAAGGCGAAAAACGCCCAGUCUGGGCAGACCAAAGGGAAACAAGUGGAGGGGCUUAAAUGCAAUUGUCACAACACUUUAUAUGGACACCCCUCUCUCUCCCACAGCCAUUUUCACCCUUCUCACCUAUUUCCUCUCUUUCUCUCUUUAGAACUCUUGCUCUAGGGCUUGGAGAAGAAGAAGAAGAAGCAAGGAGGAGGUGGAUUUGGGGACUUUGGUGGGUUCUACAAGCUCUCCUACAAAAAGGACUUUGAGGAGCUUGGGGCUAGGUGAGUUUUGGUACAAAUGAGUCUAGGGUUUGGAUUUUGGCUUGGAAAAUUGGAGCUUUGUGCUCCCUAGAGGCUUUAGAGGCUCUUUUGAGCCAUGUAUACCAUGGUACCCAUGAGAGCUCAAAGUGCUCUCAUGGUGAAUCCUUGGAAGUGGUGUUUGGAGCCCUAGGGUUGGUACCAAAGGUCUAGAAACCUUACUAGAGUGCUUCUUAGAUGAUCCUAAGAUAUUGUUUGCUUAGGAUUGGGAUCGAUUCAUGGGGAAACCCUAAAUGACAAUAUUAGGGNCAAUAUGAGGCUACUGUAGUUUGACUAUGCAACAAACUCUAAUCCUAGCCAUGGGUCUUAGUAGUAUAUGUUGGCUGCAGUCGGUUCAUAUCAGGAAUGGGUGUGUGUUUAUAGGGGAUCUAUCGCUCUCGGUAGAGAGAUAAUUAGCUCUAUGCUAUUUGUACGGCAAAGCUCAGAAAUCCUCGGCUGGGGUAAUAUGGUGUAUGGAAAGAUGUUUCCAAGAGUAACCAUAAGAGCUUCUGUCUGAUCAAAUUUGUCAUAUAACGGGUGAUGGGGUUUGACGAAUAUUCCAUGACCUCCACUCAGUUGGAACUAUGCGAUAGAAGGAUUGUAUUGUACGGUAACUGCACUGUCACGCCCCGGGACCGACGGAGGCCCUCCUGGUUGCGUGCCCAGACCCGCCAUAUGUCUACACAUAUAAGGCGUCUACAACAACAGCGGAAAUAAAGUAGGAGAUAUAGCAAAAGGAAAGUACUAUAACUAAUGAUAUCAGAGCAGGUAAAGUUCUAUCAUCUAUAACCAGAGUAAAGGAAACAUAACAAAGACAGUAAAAGUAAGACAUAAAAUAGUACAAUAUCUGUCUCUAGUACAAAAAUGAUGGUCUCUAUACAUAUACGGGUACAACUCUCGAUCUCUCACAAAAUAAAGUAACGAGAGGUAGACAACCUAUCAAAUCGUCCUCGAAGGAAGCUAGCUUGAAGCAACUCCCUUCCCGCGGUCCCUAGCCUCUCCCGACGUGGAAGGCAAGAGGGCGUGAGAACUAUAAUUUAUAGUUCCCAGUGGGCAAUUACUGACCUCAACUCAAGCUCCACUAGGCCCCAAAAGAGAAGGGUAAGUUGUAACACUCCACAUCCCUCGUAAAUCGUGCCGAGUUCCGUCAAAACGAACGGAACACGGAAUUGAACGAGUUAAAGUGGACCCUAAGUGCAUUGGAGUUCAUAAACGGAGCAAAAAGGGACCCGGAGAGCAAAUUUGGAAAUCUGGCUAAGUCCCAGAUUUUGAGCUCUCGGGGACCGGUCCCUGAAGGAGAGACCGGUCCCCGUGCGCGUAGCCUGCCAGGAAAUCCUGAGGCAUCCGGUCCCUGGUGGUGAGACCGGUCCUCGGGAGACCGGUCCCUGACGGGCAGACCGGUCCCUCGCUGCGCAACAGCCGAAAAACUCGAAAAUUUGGCUAAGUCCUGGAAAACCCCCGUUCGGGAACCGGUCCCUGGUCGAGGAGACCGGUCCCCGAAGGCGAAAAUUGCCCAGUCUAGGCAGAUUGAUGGGAAACAAGUGGAGGGGCUUAUGUGCAAUUGUUACAACACUAUAUGUGGCCCAUCCCCUCUCUCCCACAGCCAUUUCACUCCUUCUCACCCAUUUCCUCACUUUCUCUCUCUAGAAUCCCUCUAGGGCUUGGAGAAGAAGAAGAAGAACUUGAGGAAGAAGGUGGAUUUGGAGCUUUGGAGGUUCUAGGAGCUCUCCAACAAGAAGAACCUUGGUGGAGCUUGGACUAGAGGUAAGUUUUGUAAGGUCUUCCUCUAGGGUUUGGAUUUUGGUUGAAAGAUUUGGAGCUUUGUGCUCCUUAGAGGUUUUAGAAGCUCUUUUGAGCCAUGGACACCAUGGAACCGAUGAGAGCUCAAGGUGCUCUCAUGGUGAAUCCUUGGAAGUGAUGUUUGGAGCCCUAGGGUUGGUACCAAAGGUCUAGAAACCUUGUUAGGAUGCUUCUUAGAUGAUCCUAUGCCAUUCCUUGCGUAGGGUUGGGAUCGAUUUAUGGGAAAACCCUAAAUGGCAAGAUUAGGGCUUGAAUUUGGGGUUUUUGCCUUAGAAUUUUUCGGGGACAAAUUGACCCCGUAGAAACCCAAUUGGGGGUGCCCAAAACACGUUGGACAACUUCGUUUAAUAUUUCGAAAAUGUUAGAGUAUAGUUCAUGUACAAAAAGGCCUAAUAUGGCACUAAUUGAUUAUAGGGCGCGGAAUCGGCUUUCGUAUAGUGCGGGGGCCUUAAUAUUCAACACCCACACGACUCAUAGAGGUGGGGGGUGCACGCCGGAAUCGUUGGAUUCCCCUCUAUGUCUGUUUCAUUUCUGCUAUUUUUGCAGGCAUAUUACUAAUACCCAUUCAUGCAUAGUAGGGUAGCUAAUGUGGAACUUGGUUUGAUUUAUUUUAUGCUUCUAAAGUAGUUGAAUGUAGAAAGAAUGAUAGAACCAAAAACGGACAUGUGGAAUUGGGCCCUCGAGAUGUGUGAACAUAAGUAUGGACUUAGACAUUAGAAAACAAUGUGGCAUUGACAUAGAAACAAGAAUUGCAUUGAGAGAUGACCAAUUGGAAUAUGUUUAACCCAUAGGAAUAGGUCGAAGAUAAGGUCUCGAAGUGGCAAAAAAAAUAGGUAGAGACCUAUCGUCGAUAUUGGCAUUGUGACUAUGGCUAUGGAUCCUCAAAUUGAGGAUUAAAUCGACACUCACCUUUCGUCUUGGCUCGAGGAGGUCGCUCCCCCUCGAGGCGUGCGCUCCGGAGUUGUGCACCACUGGCGUGUAUAAAGUCCCACCAGUUGACGUCCCUAGGGAGGUUGAGUCCCGCCGUUAUUAAGGAUUUGGGUUGUGAGUUAUUGGGGUUAACAGAGUUAACAGCGUAAGAUUGGGUAGAGCCAAUUUUGAUUAACUGAUUGGAGCAUGCAUGCAUUUCAUUUUCCGCAUUGAAAUUUAUAUCUAUUGUCUCUUUCUUGCAGCAUAGUAUUAGUUGCAUUAGUAAAUGGUUACCUUUCUUCUUUGAAAUACUUAUGCCUGGAUAGACCUAUGGGUAAGUCGGCGAGGUCCGAUGCCGACCACUGGGAACUUUCGUUGUAAGUUCUCACACCACUAACCUACAGUCCUAGCACGGCAGUGGCGCGGAGGACCGAGGGCAAGGGUUUGGCGCGUAGGUAGCGGCCACCGGGACUUUAUGCAUUUGUAGUCAUUCCAUUUUGUUAUACAUGUAUCAACUUUAUUUUGUUAUUUAGGUAUGUAAAGUGAAAACAAUCAUGUAUUUGGUGGGAUGACUAAAUGUAAAAAGAUAUGAUGGUUGAAUGGAAUGUAAUAGUUUUACAUUAGCUUUGUUUACUUGAAUUGGUUUAAUGAAACUCAAAUAUCAUGUGUAAUCUAUAUUAGCCUUAGAGCUUUCGCUUCCGUGUUUGCUUGCCUCUUCGCAAGCCUGUAUUAUAUUUGCCAAUUCUCUCUGUUAAUUGCCUAAUUAUAUGUAUUGUUAGAGCCUUGGGCGGACAGGGAGGCUCUGUCCGUUCGGCGUCUGUUGACGUGACCCGAACCCGACCAAAUUGCGGGGAUUGGCGUGACAAUAAGUCGAUAAAGCACCAUAAUAAGAUAACUGGCAAUAAGGAAAGCAUAAUGGAAAUGCUAAUCUACAAUGCUCAAUAUAAGCAUGAUGUCCAUCUAUCUAUCAUAGGCAAAAAUGUCCAAUGCAUGAUAAUAUUGUCUCAACACAGAUAAACGCGAGAAAAACAAUCACGUCCAAUAUGUCAAUACAUAAGGAAGAUAAGCUCUAUCAAGCAACCGAGUAUGCGACGGAUGCAAUAAUGAAACAACGCAAGUAUCUAUAGUCCAAUGCUAUAUUUAUGAGCGUGUCAAAGUAAUCCAACUACUAAGGCCUAUCUAAUAGUGAUUAUCCAUCCGCGUCUAAUGUCAAUGUUUCCAACAUGUUUAGGAUCUACAUUAUUUGUAGUUCAGCUUGUGCUGCCUAAGUGUCGGUGUAGCACCCCACCGCAUUUCCACUCUAGAUAUGAGUUUAUCCUCCGCGACCGACCGCUAGGUUCAUGAUACCGCACGAGCGAACGUAGUCGCCGUAGGCUGAACUCGGGAGUGCCGGCUUGUAGGGAGUGACCUCUGCACAACAUGUGUCGAAUGAGCACAAAUGAAGCAAGCAUAGCCAAAGUCUCAAUAUCAUCCUCAUGCUCUAACAUGUAUAGUCACUAGCAUCCCGAAGAUCUAGUUUAAGUCACAAUGAAAUUCUCUACAUUCGUUACUGCUAGUGCCCCUCUGAUGCACACUUAGACAAUAAUGUCAACAUGUUCCAAUCUCUCAAACUGUGCCCUAUUCAUAAGGUUCAACCAUGUCACCCGGCUCAAUUCUGCUUGAUGACACUACGCCCUCUAAAUCACAUAAAUUAACAUUUCGGUGGCUCUAUAUGACAAUUUUGUUAUCUUCAUGUUUCAACAUAACUUAAUUUAAAAUGCAUGAACCAAAGCUGCAUUACAAUAGAAGCCAUGAAACCAAGUUUCAUAUAGAAUGAUUAAAUGCAAGCCAUAGAAUCUCUCAAGCAACUUCCUACUACACAGAGGAUCCCAAAAUUUAUCACAUAUAAUAUAGGCAUUUUAAGCAAUUCUAGAGAAAUCAUAAUAAAUGUACUAGCAUGGAAAUCGUCAGAAUAAACAUUUAACAGAGAGCAUAAAUGCCACAAGUGAUGAGAAUUUCUCAUAACUAUAGCUAGGAUCAAACCACCAAUCGAAAUGCUUCGUGUUUCGCCGAACGGAGGUAUCCUAGCUUCUCUAGACCUACAGGAACAUUCAAAAACGGGGUUAUCCUAUAAUGAACGAAGAGCAAAAAGCUCAAUCAUAUAACCAGAACGGAAAAGGGCCAAAACUCAUCCUCAAGAGUAAAAAUAUCUCCUAAGCGCACAAGAGAGCUGGAUCGCUUCAAGGAAGUUGAAACAAAGAAUCUUAUUUCCAAAAAGCCUUGAUUCAAAACUGCCAAAAUUAAGAGCCCUAAAACUCCGUUACUAACGGUUCAUCUCAAAACAUGCAAAUAAAUGUCAAUUCCAGAGGGAGAGAUAAGUUGGGGUUGACCUCUAGAAGCUUCAAUCUAAGUGCUCUAAACUCUUGAAAUUCCUCAAGAUCUUCCGUCAACAAUUCACACAAGACAGCUCCCAACUUCACAAUGUGGAAAAGCAAAGAAAAGGAAAAGAAUGAGGAUCACACUUUAAAUCCCAACUAAAAAGGAGAUCGAAUCCAAAGGGGGUGAAAUGGAUCGGGUGCGCUACUCUUCUCCCUGUAGUGUGAAGGCCAGAAGGAGCAGCCUAGUGGGCGAUGGUGGUUGAUAUAAUCAGUCCUAAAUGACAAAAAACACCUAGCAUUGCAAAUGUCACUCAGAAAGAGCCUGACCCUUGUACGUACAUACGGCCACCCUGUACCGGUACAAGACUCCCACGAAAACCCAACCCCGAGCUCGGGUCGCGGCUUCAGCGCUCUGUAAUCGGUACAAACCCGUGGCUGUACCCGUACACAUCACAACUUGUACCGGUACAUGCCAUCAGCACUGUCGGUAUCACACAUCCAAAAAUGCAUAUCCGAGAAUUAUCCAAAAUCCGUUUUUCGAAGUUUUUGUACAGUCCUUUAAACUCACUUCUGAUGAGAGCCAUAGGUCGGAACUGUCAACCAGGACCCACUAGUAAAGUCUGGAAUUGUCAGCCANNNNNNNNNNNNNNNNNNNNNNNNNCCAGUGCAGUUGUCUGCGGCUUGCCUGUCUCGGAGGGGACAGGCGGGUUCCGAGAUUGUUGUGUAUAUUAAUUCGUUAAUCGUUCUCUUAACGUAUAUAUUAUGUUCCGAAUGAGCUCUCGUUCGUUGUUGCCUUCGCUUUCGAGAUUCGAUUUAUAUGUUAUGUGUACUAUAAACUAAAGAAAACUUGGUUUAGGUUCAUUUAUUAUUAUAAUGUAAGGUAAGUUGGUAGUAUAGAAAGAUGUAAAUCAGUAGGUGGUUUAUGUACUAACAAGAGUGGAAUGUAUGGAUUUAGUUGUUUUAUUUCAACUAUAUACAUAUUGUUUUUCCCUUACUGAUGUUUUACGUAUUUCAGGAGCCACCGGCGAUGGAUGCCGCGGUUUGGGAACGGAGCCAGGAGGCGGCGGGGCGAGCACGAUCCUGGACAUCCCAAUCACCACACUCUUGAUGUUGCUUCAAGGGUCAAACCCGACCAAAUUGGCGGGGAUUGGGGCGUGACAACGGCCCUCCACCAAGUAUGGAAAAAUUCGGAAUACAAAUCGAACACUCGAACCUCGCAAUUUGCAAAGGUCCAGCGUGCUACAAUCUAAGGUGUAGGGAGAGUUGAGAGAAGAGAAAUGAGGGAGAGAGAUGGUGGAGUGGCUAUAUAGGCUCUCUAUUGUAACAAAAUCCAGAAAAGUUCCUCUACUUUGCAACCUGUGCAAAGCCCGAACUGGGCAGAUUUCGCCCAGAGGGACCGGUGUCUCCCUGCUUGGGACCGGUCUCUCAGGUCCAUCCGGCAAAACCUGCUCUCGGGAAUCGGUCUCUUCCCGCAUGGGACCGGUCUCUCCCCACGAAAACGCGCUCGGGGACCGGUCUCAUCCGCCAGGGACCGGUUGCCUCGCAAACUGCGGCAACACUGUUCUAAGGGGACCGAUCUCUCCCAUCAGGGACUGGUCCCCGAGAGUAAAAACUCUAAGGACAAAGCUGAAUUUUCAGGAUUCGAACUUUUUAGGUCGAAACACCUUCUACAACCCUCCACAAAGCGUGGAAAAACUCGGAACACAUCCAAUCACUCGAACCUCGCAAUUUGCACAGGUCCAAUGUGUUACAUAAUACUGACAUCAUCAAAGACAAAAGAUGACAUAUAUAUAUAGGGUAUGCAACUGAGCAAAAUGAAACCACCUCGGGCGGUCUCUGUCUAUGGCGCGAUACCUUUACCGCGAUCGUCGGCAAGCUCACUCGGUCCCGGCUCUGUGGAAAUAGUGGGGUAAGAACUACAACAAAGUUUUCAGUGGGUUCGGCCGCCGACCUCGCCGACUUUCUCACUAGGUCUAAAUCAUGCAUAAUAGAAGAAUAGAGAUAGAUUGUAACACACUGGACCUUUGAGAAUUGCGAGGUUCAAGUGUUUGGUCUGUGUUCCGAGCUUUUUCAGAUAUUCUAGAGGGUCGUUGACAGUGUUCCGACCUAUGGCUUGCAUCCCGAGAAUCGAGGUUUUAAGCUUAGCGCCGAAGUCUCUCAAGUGAAGAUUGUUGGCUGCUCUCGGGUUGCAUUCUGCAGGGUUGUGUACCAGUACAACAUUGAAGUUGUACCGGAACAGGCGGUUGUACUAGUACAAUAUUGAGUCUGUAUCGGUACAGCCAGCAGCUUUCAGCCAACCCGAGGCUAGGGUUUGCGCAUACCCUGGCUUUGUACCGGUACACUUUUUCAUGUACCGGUACACAAUGCAGCUCGCAUACUGCUUUUUCUGGGAGGGUGUUUUUGCAAUUGUAGCUUCCCUACGCCACUAUCGAUUGCAAGAAUCGAACAGUAAUGUUUAGAGAGCCGGGGCAGGCGGAGGUUGUGUACCGCGGAUGCCAGAGUUCGCUGUUUGCAAUGACGAUUAGCUUCUCUCGAGCUAGACAGUUGAUCAGCAGAGGCUGCGUAGCCUAUUUGGCUACUGUUGUGUUGCGGGGUGAUGCAGACGCCCCUAGGAUUGAGGAUAUCCCCGUAGUAUGGGAGUUUGGAGAUGUAUUUCCAGCAGAGGUACCAGGCAUGCCACCGGAUAGGAAGAUUGAGUUUGUGGUAGAUCUCGUUCCCGGAACUACUCCAAUCUCAAAGGCGCCCUAUAGGAUGGCACCGGCAAAAUUGAAGGAGCUGAAGGCACAGUUGCAAGAUCUUUUAGAUAAGGAUUUUGUGCGACCGAGUGUGUCACCUUGGGGGGUACCGGUCUUGUUUGUCAGGAAGAAGGAUGGGUCAUUUCGCUUGUGUGUGGAUUAUCGUGAACUUAAUAAGGUCACGAUUAAUAACAAGUACCCGUUACCGAAGAUCGACGAUCUGUUUAAUCAGCUUCAGGGAUCGAGUGUGUACUCCAAGAUCGACUUGCAGUCGGGGUACCACCAGUUGAAGAUUACACCCGAUGAUGUGUUGAAGACGGCUUUUAGAACACGGUAUGGACAUUACGAGUUUACGGUUAUGCUGUUCGGGCUCACUAACGCCCCGGCAGCUUUUAUAGAUUUAAUGAACCAUGUUUUCAAGCCUUAUUUACACAGGUUCGUCGUGGUGUUCAUCGACGACAUUUUGGUUUAUUUUCGAAGUGAUGCGGAUCCCGAGAAACAUUUGAGGCUAGUACUUCAAGUGCUUCGGGAAAGGAAGCUUUAUGCCAAGUUGAAAAAGUGUGAGUUUUGGCUUAGAGAGGUGGCGUUUUUAGGCCAUUUGAUUUCAGGAUCAGGUAUAGCUGUGGAUCCUAGGAAGAUUGAAGCCAUCAAGGAUUGGCCGAGACCGACGAGUGUUACCGAGAUUCGGAGUUUUCUUGGCUUGGCCGGCUACUACCGACGGUUUGUCGAGGGAUUCGUAAAGUUAUCUACUCCCCUCACAAAGCUCACACAUAAAGGCACCAAGUUUGUUUGGAAUGAUGCGUGUGAAAGGAGCUUUCAAGAGUUGAAGCAGAAAUUGACAACCGCCUCGAUCCUAACCUUGCCAACUGCUGGAGCAAGGUAUGUGAUUUAUAGUGAUGCUUCUUUUAAUGGAUUUGCUGUGUCUUGAUGCAGGACGGGAAAGUGAUCGCGUAUGCAUCUCACAAGUUGAAGGAUUAUGAAAGAAACUACCCUACUCAUGAUUUGGAGUUUGCGGCCGUGGUCUUUGCAUUGAAGCUAUGGCGUCAUUACUUGUACGGCGAGCGAUGCGAAAUAUAUACGGAUCACAAGAGUUUAAAGUAUCUAUUCACUCAGAAGGAGUUGAACUUGAGGCAGCGCAGAUGGUUGGAGCUACUCAAGGAUUAUGACUUGACUAUCCUUUACCACCCGGGCAAGGCUAACGUGGUGGGGCAAGCGCUAAGUAGGAAAUCGACGGAAAACUUAGCGAUGCUUGUUGUUACUUAACCAUCGUUGAUCGAGCAUAUGAAGCGGUUGGAGUUGGAGGUGGUGGCACCUGAUAUACCCUUGAGACUGAUGACCUUGGUGGUGCAACCUACACUUUUGGAAAGGAUUAAAGAAAAGCAAUCUCACGAUGUGGAGUUGUAACGUAUAAGAGCUAAGAUGAUUGAUGGUUGCACCGGUGAGUUUACUGUGGACGGUGGUGGAUUGAUGCGAUUCUGCGGACGGCUAUGUGUGCUGACGGAAUUGGGUAUUAAAGAAGACAUUCUUCAAGAAGCAUAUUGUGCACCGUAUGCUAUACAUCUGAGAGGCACCAAGAUGUACAAGGACUUGAAGUUGCUUUAUUGGUGGCCCGAGAUGAAAAAGGAUGUUGGCGAGUUCGUUGCUAGAUGUCUAACUUGCCAACAGGUGAAAGCUGAGCACUGAGUUCCCGCGGGGAAGUUACAGAGCUUACCGAUUCUGGUGUGGAAAUGGGAGAAGAUCACCAUGGACUUUGUGAUGGGUUUGCCCUGCUCGCAAGCCGAGCAUGAUGCUAUUUGGGUGAUCGUGGAUAGGUUGACGAAAUCGGCACAUUUCAUAGCUAUCCACACUACUUGGACUGGUGAGAGACUCGCACAGGUUUACUUGGACGAGAUUAUGCGAUUGCACGAGGUACCUACUUCUAUAGUAUAGGAUCGAGACCCUCGUUUUGUAUCUCAUUUCUGGAGGAGCCUACAGGAUGCUUUGGGCACGCGCUUGAUUUUAGUACAUCUUUCCACCCUCAGAGUGACGGGCAGUCAGAGCGUACUAUACAGACUCUUGAGGAUAUGCUUCGAGCCUGUGUGAUUGACUUCCAGGGAGGAUGGUCACAGCAUCUACAGAUGGUAGAGUUUGCUUAUAACAACAGUUAUCAAGCAAGCAUCAAGAUGGCACCUUUCGAGGCACUCUAUGGACGGAAGUGUAGAUCGCCACUUCAUUGGAGUGAAGUUGGCGAGAGAUUGGCUUUAGGCCCAGAUGUGCUCCAGGAAGCAGAAGAUAAGGUUCGCGUUGCUCGGGAGCGACUGUUGACAGCCCAAAGUAAGCAGAGGAGUUAUGCUGAUAGGCGUCGACGAGACUUGGAGUUUCAGAUUGGUGAUCAUGUCUUCUUAAAAGUCUCGCCGACCAGAUGGAUUAGAAGAUUUGGGAUCCGGGGUAAGUUGAGCCCUCGAUACAUUGGACCGUAUGAGGUUUUGGAGCGUGUAGGCCCAGUAGCGUAUCGACUUGCUCAACCACCGAACCUAUCGGGUGUACACAAUGUAUUUCAUGUAUCGGUCCUUCGGAAGUACAUCCAUGAUCCAGCUCAUGUGCUUGAAGCGACGCCAUUGGAGCUGAAGGAGGAUUUUAGCUUUGAAGAACAACUCUUGAGGAUUUUGGCUCGUGAGGUGAAGAGAUUGCGGAACCGUAAGAUUCCCUAUGUGAAGGUGCUUUGGAGCAACCAUGAUAAGCGCGAGGCCACUUGGGAGUUGGAGAGCGCACUAUGGGAGCGCUAUCCCCAUCUCUUUCAGAUGGAGGCUUGAGGUACUUUACUUUUCGAAUUUCGCGGACGAAACUUCUUUUUAGGAGGGGUGAAUGUAACAUACUGGACCUUUGCAAAUUGCGAGGUUCGAGUGCUUGAGCUGUGCUUUGAGCUUUUUCAAAUUUUUUGGUGGGUUGUUGACAGUAUUCCGACCUAUGGCUCGUACCCCGAGAAUUGAGGUUUGAAGCUUGGCACCAAAACCCAAAAGAAUGGAUUUUUGGUCAACUCUCGGGUAGCUUUCAGCAGGGCUGUGUACCGGUACAGGUUGAUGGCUGUACCGGUACAACCAUCAACACUGGCAGCCUGCACGCCAACCCGAGGCUCGGGUUUGGCUGUUUCGCAGGUGUUGUACCGAUACACGGGCCCUUGUACCGGUACACAAUGCAAUGUGGGCUGGUUUUCGGGGAGGGGGUUAUUUGCAAUUGUUGCAAACCCUAUAUAGCUCACCCCAGCCCCUUGGAGAGCUCUUUCGAGCCCUAGACCAGUGGAGACAAGGUGAGAUCUCCUUUCUUUGGUUUCUUUCCCAUUUUUGAUGGAUUUGAGCUAGUUUUGAUCCUCCUCUUCCUCUCUUUCUUGCUCCUUGUUGGAUGUUCACCAUGUGGAAGCUUUAGUUGGAGCUGCGUAGCGGAGGAACUCCAAACCUUAGAGGACUUAGGCUUGGUUUGGGGCUUGUGAGGUUAGUUACGCCUUGAUUCUCCUUGGAUCAUAGUUUUGUUGUUUUACCUUAUGAAACCCUAGAUUUGGAAACCUAGGGUUUAUUUGGGGCUUUUUAAUUAGAAGCUUUUAGAGCUAAUCUAAUUGGAUUAGAACCUUGCUUUAGGUUGCUUUGGAAGGGAUUUAGCUUCCUUUUGAGCUUUGGAAAGGGAUUUCUCCACUAUAGGUGAGAUUUUGGCCCUUUUGUCUUGUUGGUUAAUGAUUGAGCUAGUACUUGUUCGUUUACUUCUUGUAGCUCACUUUUUGAUGCUUCUAGGGUGCUAGGAGAUUAGUGGACAUCUUCGUUAGAGCAAACGAAGGGUUGCGCGAAGUUCGGUGGGUUUGACCUAGCCUACAAUAUGAGAAAUUCUCAUAUUUGGUGAUUUAUGUUUCGUAAAAUGAAAAUUCAUGCAUCUUUAUGCUAGAUGUAUUUAUUGUGAAUUUUAGAAUGCUUAAAAUGCUUACGUUAUAUAUAAUGCAUUUUUGGACCCCUAUAUAGUAGAGAGUGGCAUGUGAGACUUAGACAUGUAUUUAGCAUUCUAGAUGUGACUCAAGAUCAUGUUCUAUAUAGUGAGAAUGAGAAGUGUAAUGUGCUUUUAGACAUAACUCUCAUGUUGGACAUAGGGUCAUGCAAAAUGCCAUAAAGAGGCUCAGGACUUGUGUUAUUAGCAAACUAUUGAGCCCAUGUCAUAAAGGGGCAUUGAGCUCGUCAUGUGCUUGGGACGAGUGAAACCUAGUGUCAUAAAGCGGCACUAGUGUUGGAACAAGAUUUGGACUUAGUAAAGCUAAGGUCAAUUACAUAGAAUUUAUUGGACGGUUGAACCUUCACAUUGAGACAUAAUGACUGUGUUCUUGCGACGAUGACUAUACUUGUUUGCCAUUUGUGCUCAUUCGCACAUGCUUGUGAGGGUCGCUCCCUACAAGUCGGCACUCCGGAGUUAGCCUACGCGACUUAUGCUCGCUCGUGCGGUAUCGAGAAACCUACGGGGUCGGGAGAGAUAGACUCAUUCCUAGAGUGGGAAUGCUGGGGUUACCACCGACACUUAGGUGGCACAAGCUAAAUUAUAUUUAUAUAGAUCCUAGAACAUGAAUAAACAAUGACAUUGAAUCGGAAAAUGACAAUCACUACUAGAUAGGCUUAGUAGGUUGAUUACGUUGACAUGCUUAUAGCAUAGUGUUGGGACAUCGGUAUAUACCUCAUAAUGCUCACCAUAGAGAUAGUGCCUCUAUAGCUUUAGCACGAAAAUAACCGCCACUAAUUCGAGAUCAUGUAUCGGGUAGUUCUUCUCACAGCUCUUCAAUUGGCGCGAAGCAUAUGCAAUGACUCGCCCAUUUUGCAUAAGAACACACCCGAGACCACUAUAGGAAGCAUCACUAUACACCACGUAACUCUCUCCCGGCGUUGGCAAAGCAAGUACCGGGGUAGACGUCAACUUCUCUUUUAGCUCUUGGAAGCUUUGGUCGCAACCGUCGCUCCAUACAAAUCUUACUCCUUUGUGCGUAAGGCGUGUGAGAGGAGUAGUCAGCUUCGCAAACCCCUCCACAAAACGUCGAUAAUAACCCGCCAAUCCGAGGAAACUGCGGACUUCCGCCACACUCGUCGGGCGAGGCCAAGCUCGAAUCGCCUCAAUCUUCCUCGGGUCUACCGAGACUCCGCUCCCGGAUAUCACAUGGCCUAAGAAGGUUACCUCCGAAAGCCAAAUCUCGCACUUCUUCAGUUUAGCAUAAAGCUUCUCGUUCCGGAGCAUUUGCAACACGGUUCUUAGAUGUUCCUGGUGUUCUUCUUCACUCCGCGAAUAGACUAGCACGUCGUCAAUAAACACUAUGACGCACUUGUCCAAUAGCGGUCGAAAGACCCGAUUCAUUAGGUCCAUAAAUGCUGCCGGGGCGUUCGUAAGCCCAAACGGCAUCACCGUAAACUCAUAGUAGCCGUACCGCGUACGAUACGCCGUUUUGUGCACAUCCUUCAGCCGGAUCUUCAACUGGUGAUAUCCCGACUGAAGGUCUAUCUUCGUGUAAUAUACCAGAUUUUGGUAUAAAAAUAAAAGUAAAUAAAAAUAGUGUGAGAUACUAUUUUUAUUUGGUUUUUGAGAAACAAAGUAUAAGUCUAUAAUGACUUGUGCUGAAAUCGGAAUGAAAACAGAAGAUUUAUAAUUUUCUGUUGAAAACGAGACAGAUAAAUUAGCAAAAAAUACAGAGUCUCAGAAAAUUAUGAAAAUUGGAGGAUAAGUCAGAAAUAUUUUUAUGAGGCUAGAUUUAAAGUUUCAUAUUUUUCUGACACCCGAAAGUUGAGAAAUAAAAUCCGAAAUCUAUCUGAUAAAGAUUACAGUUCGGUUUACAGUUUUCGGUGAGCCAAACGGCGGUCGAAACUGAACUUAAAAAUAUAUUUUGUCGGGUACGCGGGUUUUUAUAAAAGAAAACGAAUAUAUGUCUAAAUUUGAGCUCAAACGGAUACUCUGAGAGCUCCGGCGAAAUAUAUCAGAUUUUAAUGUGGUGUUUGGUUUUGCCCUUUGGGAGUGAAUAAGUGUUUUGUGCGAAGCUCAUAGGAGAGGAGUGGAGUUGUAUAAUUGUCGUUCUGGUUAUGGUAUAUUAUAGGACUUGGGUUCUUUCCUCUCAUUAUGUCACACUCACAAGCAACGAGAAAAAUCUCUUCUACAUAAAGAGAGGAUUGGAGAAGAAAAGAAAGAACAAUUGAAGCAAGCUUUGGAGAUGUGUGGGUAUGGUAGAGUAGCUUUGAAGUUGUACAGCUCUCUCUAAUGGUGGAAGCAGCUUUCCACAUAGUGGAUUUAGUUGAUGUGAAUGGUGGUCUAAGUGAGAAUCUUGGUAAUUUAAGCUAGGAUGUGUUUAUCCUUAAUACUUUAGUGUUCAAUAGCCCUCUAAUGUGUGAUUAGCAUGUUAAAUCGCAUUAUAAUUCGGUUAAUGGAGCACGUGUAGAGCGUAGGUUUAUAAUGAUGGAUCUCUAAGAGCUUUAAUUAUAUGCCUCUAAGAAUGGAUUUAGAGGGCAAUCCUUAGAUGCCUAAUAUGGAUGGCUAUUGCAUGAAUUAAGGAUCAUAUGACGAUUCUUGCCAAUAUGUGUAUCUUAGGGCUCAGAAAAUGGGGAUUUUGUAAUAGAUAGGGUGUGAUCUCGUUGCCUCCGUUACAGACCUAAUUGUAGGUAACACGAACGCAUUGUGAGUCGGUUCGCGAAUCUGACGAUGCCGUUACGAAGUUAUAAAGAAACGGAGUGUAGGGCUUCGGGAUCCGGUGGAGACUGGAGGGCGAAGGCGGCGUCGAAAAUCGUGGAGAUGGAUUUGACGCACGUGUAGCAUGUGCGAAGAGAUACUGCACUUGAAACGUUCGAACGGACGCUCUUGCUAGUUCGCUGUGAGAACGGCGCCCAACGCGGUGACGGGCCGGGUGCCGCGGAGCGUUGUUGUGAUGAGUGGACGACAAGCGAAUACGGAACGCAUAUUGAGGUGUUGUUUGCUCACGAGACAUUUAGGUCGCUUUCUGUGCAGGUAAUGUAUGUUUACUAUUGAUGCGAUCGGAUAAUGAGUAUGUGUAGGUUUUUUAGAAUGCAUGAUAAGUAUGCUAUUAGAAUGCAUGAUAAAGUAUGUUGAUUUAAGAUAUGCAUGAUAAAGAUAGAUGGCCCAAAUGAACUGCAUGAGUUGAUGUUAAUGUUACAUGUGCAUAUUAUAGAAUUGUAAACAGAUGCUCAAAAUGAAAGUAUGAGAUGAAAGACACAAUGUGACGUAAAGAAAAAUGAUAAUGGCUAAAGAUAAUGUAAAACAAUGUGAUGAUAAUAAAGAACACUAGAAAUUAGUGUGAGGCAAAAGAAUCAAUGUGACGUAAAGAAAAAUGAUAAUGGCUAAAGAUAAUGUAAAACAAUGUGAUGAUAAUAAAGAACACUAGAAAUUAGUGUGAGGCAAAAGAAUCAAUGUGACGUAAAGAAAAAUGAUAAUGGCUAAAGAUAAUGUAAAACAAUGUGAUGAUAAUAAUGUAAUGUUGCAUGAUGUGACACUACAAGAAAAUUGACAAUUAGUGGCAUAUAUAAAUGUUGCUAUAUGUCCAAGAAAUGCAUCUGAAUCUUUUAGCAACAUUUAAAGUUUAGUGUUGCUUAUGCCCAUGUUGCUGAAUCAUUUAGCAACAUAUACAAAAAUUGUUGCUAAUGUUGAGUAAUUAGCAACACUUAAUAAAUGUUGCUAUAGAUAAAUUUCAUAUGACAUUUUCAAAAUAAUUAUAUAUGUAUUGUAAUUAAUUCAUGCAUUAAUAAAUUCUCCUAAUUUUUUUUUGAAUUUUUUUAUUAUAAUUGAUAAUUAUAGUAUUUAAAUUAAUUUAAUUAANGUAUUGUAAUUAAUUCAUGCAUUAAUAAAUUCUCCUAAUUUUUUUUUGAAUUUUUUUAUUAUAAUUGAUAAUUAUAGUAUUUAAAUUAAUUUAAUACAAAAGGUAUCUAAUAAAAUGAUAGUAGUAUAAAUACUAUCAUAACAAAAUGAAAGCUUAAAUUGCUUCACGAACAUUUCUUCAAUUUGAACUUCUCAUGUUUCAUUCAGCUUUACUUGUGCUUAACCUGUAAAAAAGAGUACACAGAAAUUAAAUUUGAUCUGCAAAGUUAUAAAAUAUAGUAAGAAAUUUUUUUUAAAAAAAAUAGUAUUAUGUGCAUACAAAGGUAUAUGGCCAAGCCACCGUUACGCCUACGGCAUCUCCAAUGAGGAAUUUCUUCAUAAAAUUUUUUAAGAAAAAAAUGUAUCAGCAAACAGCAGCUUAACAGGCAUUAUAUAGCCCCAAAACCCUACUCACUUAAACCUCCUGAGUGUAACCCCAUAAUCUACUCAAGAAAAUUAGAGAAGAGCCAGAGGGUAAAGAACUAGGAAGCUACAAAAACAAAUCCAAAAAACUACUAGCAAAAUUUUGUUCCUAUUCAAUUUCAAAUUAAAGUAUUGAUUUCAAGCAAUACAUGUUUCACAAAGAAAUUUGUGUUGAAUAAGAAAUUACAAUUUUGUUUUCAUGCAAAAAUAAACAGUCAAGCCUCAACUACAAAAACUCCAAUAAAUGACAACACUUAAUAGCAUUUAUAUUAAGUAAAUAUUGUUCCCACAAGAAGCUAAUAACAUUGCCAUAUAGAAUUUACAUUGUUCAAAAGGAUAACACACACUAGAAAGUAGCAAUACUUGGUUUGCAAAACGGAUUAAAUAGCAUAAGUUCUCAGAGGCACGAUCAAUAGAAGAACAUAAUAAUAAUAAUAUUAAUGAUGAUGAUGAUGAUGAUGAUAAUAAUAAUAAUAAUAAUAAUUUUAGUGCAAAUAUUACCGAUAAUAUGGGUUUCUGGUAGGUUCCAUAAUGGUUCACAGAACCCAGCCAAGCAUGAAGUUAUUCUCCCCUCCGGCGGUUCUCGGAAUGGUUGCUUCAGGAGGAACAAAUUGGUGAUACCUGUAUGUGAAAACAAUUUUGCUAAAUUGGUUUGCUUCUGUAUGUUUCAGAAUAGAGAACUAUGCAUCUGUAAAUAAUUUGAGUAGAUUUCAAAUCAAGUAUUACAGCUCUUAGAGCAAUAUGGGUGAUACAGUUAUCCUAUUUGCAGAGUGGGUUCGCAUUCCAUGCCGCUCGACUGGGCGUGCUGCAUAUUGAAUGCAUUUCCACUCACAAUAACAUCAGAAGCCUAUGAUCCUUGAAUGGCUCUAAAAGCGCCACCUUCGGCCUCAAGCUAAAAGAAUAGGAUUCUGGCAAGUUAAAUUUGGAACAAAAGUAAAGGAAAAACAAAAAAAAAUCAAAACUCAAACGAUUUGUAUCUCUGCAGAAAAACCUUGUUUCUAAGCUGUUUAUUUAUUUCUCCCAGUUCACGUUCCUGCAAGUGUAAUAGAAACAGCAUUUAGCACCAGGAUCUUUUACUAGAAGGUCAUAUUUAAUAGAAAACAAGAAAUUCCUGUGGAACAUAAUGAUAUAAAUUACACAUAUUUCAUUUCGAAGGUCAUGCAAAGAGAGAAAUUUUGUGACUCAAUGGACACAUGUCAUUUUCUCUUUUCCUACAACCACAAAGGCUUGCAACACAUGUUAUUACAUCACAUGACCUUGUCUCUACUUUGAUAUAUUAGAACAUAAAGAAACAAAUGUUAAAAAAAAAAUCAUCAAAGAAAAGCAAUUAUUCUUAAACAUUUUGCAUAGAUUUCACAUUUCUAUUAUGAUUUGCUAUCAUGUAAUUACGUUAUUAUACGACAAUAUUUAAUAGAAGGUUCCUAGACACUUCGACGAAUCGUAACGCCACAUAAAAGUUCACACAGCAAAAUCUGUUCAUUGAACUUACAAUGGGCAAUCUAUGUACCUUCAACAGUGUAUCAAACAUUCAGGUAAAGAAUGUUUCAAAGUUCACCCAAAGUUGAAGACCUUAAAAUCUAAGCCAUAAGACUCGCAGAAAUCAAAACUCUGAAUUAAUUUCGCACUUUUUUCUCAUACUCUCUCCAAGAACAACAAAGAAGAUUCAAAAAACAAACAAUCCGUCAGGUAACUUGGGAAAAUAGAACCAAUAGAUUUGGAUACCUCGAGCUUGGAGAGUUGUGCUACGGCGGCGGAUUGGGCGACGAGGAAGAGGCAGCGGCGCCAAUUCGUUGGCCCAGGCCUUAGAGAGGGAGAGGGGAGCGGGGCCGAGGCUCUAUCAUUGAAAAAGAGUUUGAGCUUAACACAUGAUCCAAACAAACCUUACCAACUACAUUUCUGCAGAAGCAUAAGAUCUAAAGGAGAUCACUUCUUUUCCACAUAAAUCACACACAGCACAUGAUUAUGCCCACUCAAAUCACUAGAAACGAAAAGAAAUAUUGCUAGCAACUAACAGAUUAGCCCAACAGAGAGCAAGAGGCAACACACAAUGCACGAGAGAUUAAGAGAUAAAAACCUCGUCAACAACCGACUUCUUUACCUCCCCUUACCCUAAACCUCACUACGGCUAGGGUUUGGAUCGACGACGAAGAGCACCAACCCCGUCGUUGGCGUGUGAGGGCGGAGGGAGGCCGUCGAAGCGCCGCCGCGCUCGUGGAGGAGGAGGCCGAGGGCGACACCGUCGGCGGCAGAUCUUCUCGAAGCACUCGAGGCCGAGAAGAUCGGGAUCGAAGCUCGGAGAAGACGCUAUUAAAUUGCAUUUUCUCCGAGCUCGGAGGUCGGGGCCGAGAAGAUCGAGAUCAGAGGUGAAGGAGAGGAGGAGAGCUCGAGCUCGCAAAGAGGGGAAGGAGAGGGAGAGAAUGGGUCGCUCGCGAGCCCUAGAUCUCGAGCGAAUAAGGUCGCGAUGGAGACAGGGGGGGUUGGGUUCGGGUGGGUUGGUACAGGAUUCAAGUAAUUUAAUUUGUUGUAAUUUGAGUUUGGGUUAAUCUCUAAUAUCUUUUCCUAUUAAUGACUUAAACUACUAAAUAUAGUAUUAAUUUGUGGUUUUGAUUGAUUGAUCAAACUAACAACUUACAUUUAUAAUUAAAAUUAAAAAAAUUCUAUUUUCAAUUUAAAUUUAGAAUUAAAAUUAAUAAUACAAAUUUAAAUAUGUAAUUUACUAUAAUAUUUAUAUUUAAGUUAAAAUGCAUUACUAAAGUUAGUUUCAAAAUCAAAUUUAAAUUUGAACUUUAUAUUUAAAUUGUAAAUCGAAAUUUGAAUUCAAAUCUUAAACAGUUAUUAAAUUUAUAAUUUUAAUUCAUAUAUAAAUUUAUAAUUUGAUUUUAAAUUAUAAUAAUAUUAAUUUAAUUGCAUAUUAAUUCUUAUUGCGACAUAUAAUAAUAUAUGCUGGUAAUUAUAGCCUUUAGCAACAUUUAUUAUAUAAUGUUGCUGAAUUUAUAUAUUCAGCAACACUUUCAUUUGUGUGUUACUAAAAUAAAAUAAAUAGUAACAUAUACUUAAGUGUUGCUAAAAAAAUGUUGCUAAAUAUCAAUAUUGUUUGUAGUUCAGCCAUUAACUAGAUAGUUAUUCCAUCACCCUUUUCCCUAAUAUCAUUACUACUAUUAGGGUCAUUCAGUGAGGCACCGGUGGUACGCAACCUUGCUCUAUCCUCUUCUUCUCUCCCACAGCUUGAUCUCUAUAUAUAUUAUUACCAAGAACUUUCCUCCCCUAAUACUAGAUACGUUCUGUGAAUCUCUCUGAUGGAAUCAAUGGUAAUUCUGACACGAAAUACUAUGAGAGCUUAUCAUUGCUUAGUGCUUUCGUCCGCCUCUGAUAACUUCCCGAUCACCACUCCACUAUCGUCGCUCACCCUCCCCUAACGUUAGCUUCAAAGGGCAAAUUGAUGUAUUGGAAUUCCAUGUGUAAAUGCUUGUCUGUGGGUUCCAUUUUUAUAUCAUUGCCACCAAGAGUACGUCCAUUCUGAGUCAAACACCGACUCUAUUGUGAUUUAUCUCUACUUUAUCGAGACCUCUGCCCGGAGCCCAUUCAUGGGAGAAUAUCGCGAAAUCAUGUUCUCUAUUACCACCACGGCAGAAGUCUUUGGUGGUAUCCUCCAAAGUGUUGUAGCAAGGGUGUCUCGGCAAUAUGUUUGUGCAGAUUUUGGCCCAAAUUUGGUUGAAUUUGUUGCGAGCCACCGGUUAGGACAUUCGCUCUCUUUCUUUCUCAAGUAUUUCGGUGUAAGGCCACGUAUGUCCUUCAGAAGCAAUGUAUGACACUGACUUUAAGCAAAUUUGCAAAUUCAUUAGUGUUAGAAUAGUAUUUGGAGCUAUUCCUGGUAUUCUUGAGUGUCGUUGACUGUGUUCCGACCAAUUACUCGCGUCUUGAGGAGUGAGAGUUGGAACUCAGCACCAAAACCUUCAAACUGCAGGUUUAGUGGUCUUUUUGGGAUUGUAGCAACUCUAUAAAUAAUCCUACACCCCCAUUAGGGUUCCCUGUGCUAGGAACCAGUGGAGAGAAGAGGUAAGCUUUCUCCUCCUCUUCUCUUUGUGUUUUUCCUCUCUUUUGCUUGGGAUUUUGAGGAUUGAUCUCACAUUUUGCUUCUCUUCGCAUGUGUGUGGAUCUUGGAACCUUGGAGAAGCUUUGGAUUGAGGAUUGGAGCUUGUUUGAGGAUAGAUCUUCAACCCUAGCACCUUUCUAACUAAGUUUGGAGCUUAAAGAGAGGUUAGUAGUUUUGAUCUCUCCUUUGGAUCAUGCUUUGUUGGAUUUUUGAGAUGGAAACCUAGUUUUCGAAAAACUAGGGUUUUAUUUGGGGGUUUUUAGCCUUUGGGGUUGAAUUGAUAAGUGUAGAACUCUCUUUUAGGUUGGAUUUGAAGCUUUGUAACUUCGAUUGGGACUUUGAUUAAGUUCUUCUUGGAUAAAGGUAUUUUUCUACCUAUUUAGGCUUGAUUUUUAGGUAUUUUUAUAUGAUAUUUGUUCGAAGCUUGUAACCCUCUCAGAAAUUCUUUUAGGGUGCUAGAAGCUUGGUGGACAAUUUCGUUCGAAGGAACGAAAGGGUUCGAGGAGUAUCCGGUGAGUUUGACCUCACCAAAAUAGGUGAACUCGCUUUAUGUCUUCUCUAUGGUUAUUAGAUUUAGAUAGAUGUGUAUUCUCGCUUAAUAGGACAUGAUAGAAUAGAGUACAUAAAACAUAUGUGUUGCAUGUAGAAAUUUAUACUCUAUAUAGUAGAGAUGCAUAAUGUGGACUUGUAUUCUACAUGACAUAUGUUUGCUUUACUUACUAUGCAAUGAUGGAAAGCAUGUCAGAGAUAAACAAGGGACCUAUCUUGUGAACCCUACUUGGAUUGUGGAAUAAAUGUGAUUUAGCAAUUAGUUGCAUGAUAAUACUAAACUUGUUGUAGACAAGGUAAAUAUGACAUUGUGACAUAGAGCAUGUUAAGGGCAACAUGAAUCAAAGCUUGGUGCUUCUAACCUAGUUGAACAACUAGUACAUGACAUUGUAACAUUGCAUUUGAUCUAGUGCUCGAUAGUUGUAUUCCAUGUUUUAGACCUAAGGAAUGAGAUUCUAAUGCCUUGGGGCGAGUGAUAAGGAGGAUAAUUGUAUAUAACUAUUAUUGAAUUGAAUCACUUCCAUGAUAAUUGGUUUACUCCAUGUAGUGGAGGCAUUGGUAGAAAACAUAUGCAUGACAUGCAUUAUGAAUCUUGUGAAUAUCUUGUAAUACCUUUUGCAUUUGACAUAAGAAAGUGACCCCUUUAGUUAUAGUGGGAUAGGGUGUUGUCAACCCUUAAUUGAGACUUGAACAAGUAGUAAACUAUCCUAGAUAGGAUAAUGGCAAGUUAUACGUGCUCACAAAUUAGUGACUUAUGCUUAACAUAGUAAACAUGAACGUCAUGUAGUGACACUUGAGUUAGUAAAUGACUAAACCUUGGCAAUGUGAUACUAUAUUGGACCUUUAGGUCAUUGGUAUUUAUUCCAUAUUUUAGACAUGAUGACUGAGGAUUGGAUACUAUUGAUCAUGCUUGCAGGCCAUUGUACUCAUUCGCACAAGCUUGUGAGGGUCGCUCCCCACAAGCGGGCACUUCGAAGUUAGCCUAUGCGACACAAGCUCGCCUAUGCGGGAUUGAGCGUCGAAGUGGGAUACCGUGGGUGAGACUCAUUCUUAGGAUGGGAAUGUUGACUGCCAUGGGGUCAUUAGGCACAGCGCAAGCCGAACUAUACACGUGUAGAUCCAUGACGAGAUUGAACUUUGACACCUAAAGCAUAAUGUGGACACCAUUACUAGUUAGUGUAUAUUAGUUGGACUUGUGGACAUGCAUGAUAGUACAUGUUACUUGGACUUUAUAUUAGUCAUUCAUAGCAUCGACAAAUCUAGUGGUAGUAUAUCUACAGCUAUGUUGAUUAGUAUGGAUGCAUGGAUAGAAUAGCAUCAAAACAUAAUUUACUCUUUGUAGCAUUAUGGAAAUGAUGAACAUACAUGUAAACUGGCAUUGACAUAUAGUUGAUUAUGUGAGAUUAGAGUAUCAUGUAUGUCACGCCCUGGGGCCCAGCGGAAGCCCGCCCGGCGCGUGUACAGACCCGCCAUAUGCCUACAACAUAUAAGGCGUCUACAACAAUACGAUAAAUAAAAGAAGAGAUAAUAACAACUAGCAUGAUAUCAGAGCAUAAGUACUUCUAAUCUUUAAAGACAAGUAAAUAAUAAAAGAGCUAAACAACGAACAUAAACCAUAAAGUAGAGUAUACAACACAAGAUCCAGAAAAAUACAACUAAGUACAAAAGUGGUGGUCUCUAUACAUCGGGUACAAAACGCCACCCUUUCCAAAGAACCUUCACAUACGGGAUAUCGCGAUUCCGAAGUUUCUUCACCUCGCGAGCCAAAAUCUUCACAGUUUGCUCUUCUAAGCUCAAGUCUUCCCUCAGCUCCACUGGCAAGGCAUCCAAAAUAUGAGCCGGAUCGAAGAUAUACUUCCGGAGUACCGAAACAUGAAAUACAUCGCGCACUCCCGAUAGGCUCGGUGGUAAGGCAAGUCGAUACGUUACCAGGCCUACACGCUCCAAAAUCUCAUAAAGUCCAAUAAACUAGGGGCUCAACUUACCCCGAGUGUCAAAUCUUCUAAUUUCUUUUUGUCGGCGAGACCUUCAAAAAGACAUGAUCUCCAACUUGGAAUUCUAAAUCUCGUCGCCGCUUAUAAGUAUAGCUCUUUUGCCUGCUUUGAGCUGUCAACAAUCGCUCUCGAGCAAGGCGAACUUUAUUCUCAGCUUCCUAGAGCACAUCGGGGCCUAAAACCAAUCUCUUGCCAACUUCACUCCAAUGAAGAGGUGAUCUACACUUUCGUCCAUAAAGUGCUUCGAAAGGUGCCAUCUUGUUACUUGCUUGAUACCUAUUGUUAUAAGUAAACUCUGCCAUAGGUAAGUGCUGUGACCAUCCUCCCUGAAAGUCUUUCACACAGGCUCGAAGCAUAUCUUCCAGAGUCUGAAUAGUAUGCUCAGAUUGUCCAUUACUCUAAGGGUGGAAAGCAGUGCUGAAAUCCAGUCGAGUGCCUAAAGCAUCCUGCAGACUCCUCCAAAAGUGAGAUACAAAUCGGGGAUCUCGAUCAGAUACUAUUGAAGUAGGCACUCCAUGAAGUCGCACAAUCUCAUCAAGGUACACUUGUGCGAGUCUCUCACUUAUCCAAGUCGUGUGAAUAGGUAUAAAAUGAAUCGAUUUCGUCAACCUAUCCACGAUCACCCAAAUAGCAUCAUGUCCGGCCUUUGAGCGAGGCAAGCCCAUAACAAAGUCGAUGGUGAUCUUCUCCCACUUCCAAACGGGAAUAGGUAAACUCUGAAGUUUUCCCGCGGGUAAUCGAUGCUCAGCUUUUACCUGUUGACAAGUUAAACACCGAACUACAAACUCGCCAAUAUCCUUUUUAACUCCGGGCCACCAAUAAAGUAACUUCAAAUCCUUGUACAUCUUUGUACCUCCCAGAUGUAGAGCAUAGGGUGCACGGUGAGGUUCUAAAAGAAUAUCCUCNGAGACUCUGUUCGUGUGCAGGGGAAACCCUGUCCGUUCGGCGGUCUGUUGGCGUGCCCGAAUCCGACCAAAGAGGCGGGCUCGGGGCGUGACACUUCAAGUAUACCCGCGACCCUUGCAACUGAUCAAACAGGUCAACUAUUCUCGGCAACGGGUAUUUGUUCUUGAUUGUCACUUUAUUCAACUCGUGAUAAUCAACGCAGAGUCACAGUAUACUGUUCUUCUUCUUUACAAAUAGCACCGGAGCUCCCCACGGUGACACGCUCGGCCUCACAAAGCCUUUGUCGAGCAAAUCUUGCAACUGAGCCUUUAACUCUUUAAGCUCCGCCGGUGCCAUUCUAUACGGAGCCUUCGAGAUUGGCGCCGCUCCGGGAAUCAAGUCAAUAACGAACUCGAUCUCCCGAUCCGGUGGCAAUCCCGGUAACUCCGCCUGUCACGCCCCGCCCCGAAACCCCUACCAAUUUGGCUCGGUUCGGACGCGGCGAGCGGAUGCCGAACGGACAGCACCUCCCCUGUCCGCCCAAGGCUCAACAACAGGAAUGUGCACAAGAAUUUAUCCAUAAAUUCAAAUUCUAAACAUACACAUUCAACGGGGCACAAACAGUGCCAACAACUAAGAGCAAGUAAUCCACUAGAUAUACGAGUGAAAUAAAAAGAGUACCUUACUAACUAUUACAAUAGUUUUGCAUUCUUUUACAUUUACAUCUUUUCUCAAAAUGAAUACAUUUGAUCAUCCAAAAUACAUAGCUCUCAAACCUCACCUACAUGAAUCUCUUAAAUACAUAGGUGUGCUAAUGCAAAAGGAAAGCUACUAUACUACCACGGUCUCACUGCUCGGGCGCGAUGCCCUUGCCGCGGUCCUCUCUCGACAGCCCUGUACCUACCACUGGAAAUAGAGUGGGGUGAGAACUAUCUUCCAUAGUUCCCAGUGGGCUCGGCCGCCGACUCCGCCGGUCUCCCCACUAGGUCCAAGUGGGCACAAGUAACAACAAGUAGACAGAUAGAUAGAUAUAUGAAAACUGUAAAUGACAUAAUAGAAAAUCUAUGCUACUAUACCCAUAAUCAUGUGUAAUGAAUGCAUGCAUCAUAUAGUAAAGAUAUACUAUCAUGCUAACGAGAUCGAUCUAUAUUCGAUAAAUAAUGUUCAAUGACAACAUUAACUUUACAUUUACCCAAUCUAUGGUGAAACCCUUGGGUUCGCCCUCAACUGACCUUUCCAUCCCAAUUGGGUAGGGGAGCUCCAUGUGCCCCCAAACCCGGGACUAUCUCCGGACCUCCAUGUGAUCCCUAUUGCCCGACACUCCAGAGUACUCGACGACUAUCCUCUCUAUGUGAGGAUAUGGAUGGCUAUACCACCCCAAAUAACAGACUGUGAGCUAGAUCUAUCCUCUCCAAGUGAGGAUACCCUACGAACUAGGGUCAACAUCUCAAUCAAACUAGUCUAUGUCCUCUCCAUGUGAGGAUACCCUACAAACUAGGGCCAACAUCUCUCGGAACUCAUUUAUUCCGAUAGUCCUGCAAAACACUUUAGCUUUACUAAAUUCAUUAUUCACAAGGCAUUUUCUAAGGGAUUCCACCUAUCCCUAAGUCCAUAGACUUCUAGUGUCAAAUACACUACAUUAAUGCCACUCAAUAUGUUCUUUAAAUACUUAGAUGUCAUUUUCUAUGCCACCAAACACCCAUCGUGUCCAUCUCUUUUUUUUAGCACUAUAGGAUCCACGUUUCGACCCAAUCCUUAUCUAUCCAUUUUCACCAAGUAUUCCAUGUACACUAGGUUAACAUUAGAAGCAUAAGAAAAAGGCAUUACAAUGCAACAUACAAGAGAUGAGAUUAUGCUCUUCUAAGACAUAGAAAAGAGCCCGGUUGCUUCGGGAUGACACCCCCCACCUUUUCUCGUUGUAGAGGUUCUAGAAAUGCCUCUCGUCGAACAUUACGACGAAGUCUUGACCUCCUUGGUCCAAAACAAUGCUCAAUCGGCCUUAUCUUUCCGAUAGUUUUAAAUCCACUCGAUGAAUCGUAAUUCCGACGUCGCCUCCGCGUUUAGACACCUAGCAAUUAGGUUUACAAUGCCUCAAAUGAGAUCAAUCUCACACUUUACCAAAAACCCAUUUUUGGGUGCCCUAGGGUUCCAUUUUGUUGUUUGCACUUUAGAACCCUAGCUCUAGCUCUAAUCCACCAACAAGGGUGCUAGAGGUCCAUUUGACUCCAAUUCCAAAGCCCAAAACCCAAAAACCCUAAGUUCUAUAAGCUAGGGUUUAGUAGCUUACCUCUUGAGCUACACCAAUGAGAAGAGGAGAGGGAGGGAAAGAUGUCCAAGAUCUUCCUCUUGAUCUCCUUGAUCUUCUUUUUCUUCUCCUUUCUUCUCUUCCUUCCUUUCCUUCUCUUUUCUUCUUCUCUUUCUUUUCUUUCUAGAGAGAGAGAGAGCUAGAGAGUGUGAGAAAGAGGGAGAGGAAUGAGAGGCUAAGGGAGAGAGAGGGCCCAUAUGCCUCUCGAGAUGUUCUACUUUACUUUUACCUUAGUGGUAUAGUUUCCUUGAUUUUACUUGUUGAUAGAUUCUAGUAGUAUACUCGCUCUGAUAUUUCUAGAUACUUUUAUCCCUUACUCCUUUAUCGCUAUUGUUGUAGACGCCUUAUAUGUGCAGGUAUAUGGCGGGUCUGGGCAUGCUACCGGGAAGGCCUCUGCCGAUCUCGGGGCGCGACACCGAAGUACACCGCUUGAGGAGGAGCUACCACCCUCAAGCUGGAACUAAUGUGUGAGUACGAUCCAUUCCUCAAUUUGAGGAAGUAUAGCCAAACCUGUCUCAAUCACAAUAUCUUAAUGCCAAUGAUAGGUUACUACCAUAUCAUGUAUACCACUAUAUCUGAUACCACAAUGGUCCUGAUACCACAAUGGUUAAACCUUGUUUAGCCGUUCUCUUUUCCGAUACCAAUCAAGUCACUAUAGUCAAUGUCACCUUUGUUUACUAUUGUCAUAGUCUGUUCUCGCAUUCACAUACACAUAGGGUUCUUUCAUACAUGGUUCACAUGGUUCUUUAUCAAUUCACAUAUUCUUUAAGCAUCUAAAUGCAUUUCAACCAAGAACACAUAUCACACUACCCUAUAUGCAUGAAUGCUAACGCCAAUAUGCUCAAAGAAGGUAACAUAGACAUAGAGAGAAAUCCGGUGUUUCCGGACAGCGCCCCCCACCUUUAGUGAUACUAGGAUGUGAGCUGCGGCAAUCACGUGUUCAAUUUUCGUGAUUUUUAGACACCUACGCCGCGAGCUGCGGCAAUCUGUACCAAUUUGGCAUGUUUCUUCAAUAUCUUCGCGUACGCUCAUUGUAUCGCCGAAUCGAGCGCACCAACGCGUUCGUUGACCUACCAAUUAGGUUAAAAUGAGAUCAAACCCAAGUUUAGGCCUCAUAAAUACAAAACCCCAACUUUCACCCCCUAUAGGAUAUCAUCUUUUCAAAUCAAGUCCCUAGACUUGAAGAAUCUUGGGGAAAACCAUCUUAAGAGCUCCUAGAUGCUCAUACUAGAAGCAACACCAAAACCCUAACUCAAAAUCAUGGAAACUCACCUUAGAGUCCCAAGUUUUCCUUCAAAAGCUCUUCACAAGCUAGCCACCACCUUGGGAAGCUUCUUCUCCAAGCUUUUCUACUCCAAAGGUCCUCCUUGGUCCAAGCUCUAGAGAGAAGGAGAUGGAGAUGAGAGGUUUUUAGAGAGAGAGAGGGAGAUAUUCUUUUGUUUGGGUUGAGAGAAAUGAGGCUAACCCUAACCCACAUUCACUUAAACCAUCCCUCAUGCCAUAAUAGCACUUAAGCCCCUCUACUUUCCAUAAUCCAUGGCUGCCCGCACUAGGCAGAUUUCGCGUACGGGGUCCGGACCCUGAAGCUAAGGUCCAGACCCCGAGAGCAAUACCACUCCCAGUCAGCCCGCGCAGGGCAUUUCGCCCAUACAGGGUCCGGACCCUGCAGCUAGGGUCCGGACCCCGAGAGCAUGAUUUCUGGUACUUAGCCAAAUUUUCACAGGUUUGCUCUCAUGGGUCCAUAUACUCUAUACAAUGGCCCUAAUGAUCUUAGAACCCAUUGCGGACCGUUCCGACUUGUCCGACUCCACGUUCUGUUCGUUUCGACGGAACUCGGCAUGUCUUACAGGGAUUGAUAUAUUACACCCAUUGACUUAGAGCCAAGCAGGGUUGGUGAUUCCAUUCUCAGGCACCCAACAAUACAUGGCGAUUUCACAACUUAUGAACUAGAGGCAAAACAGAGGUAGCAAUUCUGUUCCCCGGCACCCAAUGAUACGUGGCGAUUCCGCAACUUAUGGACUUAUGAUCAAAUGGUGUAGCGAUUCUGUUACCUAAUAAUGCCUACAUGAACGUAGUGAUUCUGCAAAUGAUUGACUCAUAAUUGAGUCAGGUGACAUGUGAACAGGAUAAUGAGAUAGUAAGGAAAAAUAAAAAAAUAACUUACAUAUAUGAUUUCAUUAUCGUAUUUACUUGAGGCAUAAGCAUGGUUAUUAUUAUUAAUUACAUAUAAUAGAAUUUAUAUGCUUACAUAGUUGUAUGUAUAUACUGACAUGCUUAUUUUGCUUCCUUUGGAUCUGGUGUGUAACACCCCAAUAAUCUUACAUUGGUUGAGAAAAUAAUUCUGAUUAGAAUAUAUGAGGCCUACAUGCUAAUAUUAAUAAUUGGACUUAAACAUUUUGGGCCGGUGGUUUGGGCCCAACAAGUUAUUGUUGCUAGCGGGUCGGGUCGUUACAAUUGGUAUCAGAGCCAAAUACCAGCCGGAAGUGUUGAUAGUUAAAUGCUAUGCGGGGCAAAGUGCUACACCAACAGAUUUGAUGGGAGCCACCUCUUGAACUCGUUGGAGCCAUUUUUAAAAUCUCAUAUCACUUGGUAAUUUUGAUCUGCAUCUGUGAUCUGAUUUGGACCCGAUGAGGACAUCAAGGUCUAAAUAGGGGGACUCAUAACGCCCCAGUAGUUCCACAUCGGGUGGAAAAAUGAUACUGAUUAGAAUAUAUGAGGCCUACACGUUAGUAAUAAUAACUAGGCUUAAGCAUUUUGGACGGCGGUUUGGGCCAAUGAGUUAUUGUUGCUAGUGGGUCGAGCUAUUUCCUUGGAUAACUGUAUCCACUGGGAACUAUUUUUUAAUUCUCACACUCAUAUUUUACAGAUCCACACGUGAGCAUCGCGACAGCACGAGGAAAUGACAUAGCUCGAUAGUUUAACGUCCUGUCAUUGUGACAAAGAUUUAUGUACCCUAGAACAACGUAGCUUAAGGUAUAGAAAAGAUAAGAGAGAAAUUAUAGUAACAAUUUGAUUGUAUUUAAAAAGCAAUAAAUGUAAAUGUAAUUUGAAUAAAUUGUAAUAACAAUUUGAUUGUAUUUGAAAAGCAAAAAUUGUAAAUGUAAUUUGAACGAGAUAAAUGCUUGUAAUAGAGUAGUUAUUUUAUAUUUAUAAUACUUUUCUUAUACAAUCUGGUUACGAAUUCUGUUCCUAUUUAGAAUGUUUUGAAUUAUAUUGAUUGUGACGUCUUGGGCGGACAGAAAAAAUUCUACUCGUUCAACGGGUCUAGCGCCUGUGCCCGCGUGGGGCUUCUUCUACCUAUUUGGGGAAGGAACAGUAGGGCGUGACAUCCAAAAAGCUCUGCAACUGCAAAGUUCAAGAGUUUUCCUGGCUAAUCUCAUUACUGAGUAUCGAUAUUCUACUAUUUAGUAUCGAUGGAUACAUGCAUAAAUCUACAGCUUUCCAUAUUUUAAUUCUAAAAUUUUAUUUUCACUCCAAAAUCACUCUAACACCUUAAAUUCUACCAAACCUAUUUAAAUAGUUCCGAGUACUAAUUUUUAUUGAAAUUUUGCUAAUUUGUAAAAGUUAGGAGUACUAUAAAAAAAAGUUGUCCUAAAUUUACAACUCACUUUCAAUUAUAAUCCUACAAUAACCCCAAUUCAAUGGCUAUCUUUAUUCACUUGUCUCAUCACUUUAUUUUUAUUUACUAAAAAUUGAAAAGAAUUAAUAAGACUCUCAAUACUUUGGAUAACACGUUAUAGUAAAAAUAUAUUAACAGAUUGAGAUGACAAUAAACAUAAGGCAUAGAAAAAAGACAAAAAGAACAAAAAGGAGAAAGAGGGAAAAAAUUUUAAUAGAUAGAUGAUUAUGCCUCAAAGGAAGGAUAAUUUUGUAAGGUAUUAAAAAUUUAGAAGGAUUUAAAAAUUUAGAAAGAUGUAUAAUUUUUUUCAAAUUUAAGGCGAUAUAUCAAUUGUUGGUAUGUUUUUAAAGAAUGUGCUUGUAUUUAUCCGAUUUUUUAGUGCAAUAGUUUUCUCCUAAAAUUUUAUUCUAAAAAUAGACCUGUUAAUUUUUUAUUUAUAAAUAUGGUACUAUAAAAGCGGUGAAUCAUGUACCACCGCUUUCUUUCUUUUUCUCAUUUUUUUUUAUAUUUCUAUGAUUCUACUCCUAAUGAGAAGUUAUGAAUGCAGUGAAUCAUUCACCGCAUUUAGAGAUCUAUUUUUAUAAAUAUUUUUUUAAAAAAAAUAUUUUUAUAAUUAUAAAAAUCGUAUUUAUCCCCCGUUGUUAUUAUUAUUAUAAUAGAUAAUAGACGUUACGCUCGAGACUAUCCACAGCAACAUAUCGCCGAUUGCGGCAAGAAGUAGGAUCGAGCUACACGCGCGGGGUCGAGCUAUACGCGCGCGGGGAUCGGCGAAGGAGAUCGAGCAGAAAGAGAGGGUUGGGGGGGGGACGUAGUCGGGGUCGGGGGAGGAGUGCGAGUAGGAGGAGGAAGAAGAGAUGCGAGGUAGGAGAUGUGGAAGGAAGUCAGGGACAGGGAAACAGGUACUCUACUCCCCCUUUCUUUGGUCAGACGUCUCCGCUCCCGCCGCCUCGCCGCUCUCCAGCUCUCCAACCGCAAGGAGAUCGUCAGCCCCCACCACGGCGCCGUCAACUCCCUUCAGGUCAAGCCCCUCCCCUCUCUCUCUCUCUCUCUCUCUCUCUCUAUCUCUCUCUCUCUCUCUCUCUCUCUCUGAACUCCCGGAUCCAAUUUAGACUUGAUCGAAACAGCGAACCGAGCCGAGAGAGAGAAAAACGAAGAUGAUAUAGAUACAGUUCUAUCGUAUCGUGCGUUAGGGAUAAACGACUGCUUCAGGGAAACCGAACCUCCAAUAAAGAAAUAGUAGAGAGGGAGAGGGAUAGAGAGAGGAAGAGGGGGAGAGAGAGAGAGAGAGAGAGAGAGAGAGAGAGGAAGAAGAUAAUGUAGACAACUAAUUUUCUUCAUUAUUCAUCAAACCCUAAAAUAUACUUUUUUAUGUGCCCCAAGACCAUGUUUCUAAUUUAUUGGAAAUAUAGAAAAUAUCCUAAAUGGCUACUAUGAUUUUCCAUAUUAACAUCCUAAUCUAAGGACCGAUGUGACUCCACUGUCCUUGAAAACCACUAUGUCCAUAAGUUGGAAAAUCCAAAACAUGGUCUUGAAACUUUUGCCCGCCAGGUUACAGUUUGUUGAUCGAGCAACUGCUCCUAAUCUAGAAAAUCGAUUCCUUAAUCCCUUAAAUGUGUGUAGCCGCCUUUAUACAGUAAGGGGCGUGUACAUCUUUAAGAAGUCCCCAAAACCAAGGGUUUGGAGUCCUUGAUACCCAAGUUCCACGUCUUAAACCCCUUAGAGGAAGCAUAUGUGGAUCUAUCUUAAAUUGAGAAAUCUGCUAUAGUAAUAGGUAGGUUGGACCAUUUGCCACUCUUUGAUAUUUUGUCCCUAUUAGCCAGCAUGACGUCAAAAAGAUUUUCUUCACUUUAUUCGAAAUUGCAUCUUCUUCACGAAUGAGUUAUACAAGAAAGUCAUGAGUGUUCCCCAAAUCAAUGAGAACUGUGAUUGGUUGCUACUUUGUAUGUCCCUUGACUCCCUUCACCUGCAUUGUUUUAAGAGAUAAGGAAUUGAUGGUGACAUGGACAGAAACUUUUUGGGGGAAAAAGAAAAUGUUCCUAAGCCUAUUCUCUGUACCCUUUAGAUUGUCUUCUAUAAUCUUGUUGUAUGGUUGCUUUGACUUGCAUUAAUGCUAGGAACUAUUUUUUUAUCACGCUUGUUGCAAUUUGCAAAGGCUAUCUUUUCUUGCUUUUGCUUCAGUUGGUGUAAGGCAUUAAUGGGUGGAAGCAUCUAUUUAGAAGUUUAUAGUGUGACAUUGGACUGUCAAUUUCUUCCCCUCGAGAUGAGCAAGGUUUAUAGUGGCUGACAUAAAAGUGGAACAAAAGACUCAAAGAUCAUGGUUCAAUCUUUGUAUUUGUAGUAUAGUUGUAGGAAAUAGAGGGCUUGCAUUAAAAUCUAAGGUGGAAAUAUUCAUAGCUGAUGUAAAUUGUUGGCUAUCAAUCUUUGUAUUCAUGGUGGCAAUUUAAUUUUUGAUAUCACCGGUGAUGGCUCUCACCUUGGUCCCAAGCUUGGCGAAUAGAUAAUCAACAGCACCGGUGAAGGUCUUCACCUCCAUCUCAAGUUCGAAAAACGUGCAUCGGUAGCUUCCUUACCUACCAACUUUAUUUCCAUCCUCUUCAAUAGAUCCUUUUGUGAAUGGGUUAGGACCAUACAAAGAUUUUGUACCAAAUAAUAAGGUUCCACCAUAUUGAUAGGGAUGAAUGGAUGCUUCGAGGGGAUCGAACCUCCUAGAAAGAGAGAGUGGAGAGAUAGGGCGAGGAAGAGGGAGAGAGAAAAAGGAAGAAGAUUAUAGGAAAGACGGCUAAUUCCUUCAUUAUUCAUCAAAACCUAAAAAGUAGAUAUUUAUAUGCAUAGGCCAUAUUUCUAAUUUUUGGAAAUAAAGAAAGUACCUAAAAUGGCUAAUACAACUAUCCAUAAUAAAACGCUAAUCGUAGGACUCGUAUCAUUCUCAAUAUUAGUAGUGUUAAGCAAUAAUGAGAUCUUUGGAUUGACUGCUUGAUUUUAGGCUUUAUAGUGCUUUGCCAAUAUCUCUUCAUUAGGUAAGCUUAAGGAAUUCACUCAAACCUAUCAAUCUGGGGGUUAAUUUGAAUUAUGAUCUCAUCAUUAUAGGCGAUGAGAUAUUAUUAAGGAGAUUUCUAGAGUGUAUGUUCACUUAGGGCAUUGGCCUGCCUGUUUCCAAUCUGUAUCCGGUGAAAUCCAACUUUUUGCUUUCUUAGUUGCUAUUUCUUCUCGAUUUUGUAAUAAUAUUUGUUCACUAAGAACCUCUAUUAUAGAAAAGGAAAUGUUAUGGUGUUAAAAUAUAUAGAAGAGAAUCAGGAUGAUUGAGUACCUUGAAAAUGUCACACAAAUAACAUAGGCCCUCCAUUAUUAUCAAAAUGAAAAAGAACUUUCCAUACCAUAACAAUGAUGUAGAAACUUCUCGAUUUCUUAGACUGCUAUAACAUGUCGAUAGUUAGAGGUGGUUCACUGCUCAGAAUCAGUGGACCUAAUAAUGUAGAAGUAUCACUGCGAAUUAGUGUGGCUCAUGUUGGCCUGAGGCUUUACAGCACUCAACCUUCUAUUAAUAUUGAGGGGGCUUAUUUCUAUUAACUGAUGUUUAUUAAUUAAUAUGCUGGUUAACCUUAUCGCAGUGGCAUAAAAGCUGCUGUUAUGUUCAUAAAUGCUACUGCAGGCCUGGCAGGUAUCUGGUGGGCUACCAUAAAUGCAGCUAAGAUGCAUGUACUUUCUACUUACACUAAUAAAGAAUUAAUAUAGUUUUCGGUCAUGUCAAUUGACAACAUAAUCAGGUUGAUUUGACAGAAGGGCGAUAUCUGCUAUCCGGGGCAUCAGAUGGAUCUGCCGCCGUUUAUGAUAUCCAGCACACCACUGAUUAUGAUGGAGGCCUGAUAGCCAAGCAUAAGAACCUGUUUGUAGUUGACAAGCAACAUAAUCACGGCCAUAAAUUUGCUAUAUCAACUGCUAUAUGGUAUCCCAUUGAUACUGGGCUUUUUAUAACUGGGUCUUUUGACCAUCAUGUCAAAGUGUGGGAUACAAACAUGAUUCAAGUAGGUUUCAUUUUUGUUGAUUUAUCUCUUAUUUGCCUUUCCUGGGGAGUUUUGAUAGAGAUUUUCCAAAAAUUUGUUUGUAUUUUAUAGGUUGUCAUGGAUUUCAAAAUGCCUGGAAAGGUUUAUGGCACAGCAAUGUCUUCAAUAGCAACUGCUCAUAUGCUGAUUGCUACUGGAAGCGCAGACGUUCAAGUUCGUCUAUGCGAUAUUGCUUCUGGAGCGUUUACUCACACAUUAUCCGGUCAUCGCGGUUAGUUUCUUCUGGAACAAAAUGGGGCGCUUGAAUGCUUAAUACCAUGUGAGCCUAAUGAGUAGUCCUUCAGGUUUUUUCUUUAGGAGAUUAUAACAUUACCAAUGGAUAGCCAAUACCUAUGAUAUAAUGAUUAUUUGAAUAACCUGUGGAUUUUUUCUGGUUCUGGUCAUUUAUCAAUCGCUCAGUGAAAUUGUGCUCUUUAACUUUUUCUCUUGACUUCUUUUUCCCAUUUGACAAUUUGUUUUUCUCUGAACUUGGAGGAUAAAAAUACUGCAAAAUCAAAUCCCUUUCUUACUGAUUCCUUUUAUAUUUCAUUUUCCUUUUUGUAACUAUCAGUUAUCCACACGACAUUUAAAAUGUUCUGAAAUAUUGACCUAACUACAGUUUCAUCUUGCUCAUUAAUGACAGAUGGUGUUAUGUCAUUGGAAUGGUCUACCUCUAGUGAGUGGAUUCUAAUGACUGGGGGGUGUGAUGGUGCAAUACGCUUUUGGGAUAUUAGGCGUGCAGGAUGCUUCUGUGUUCUAGAUCAGUCACGGUCUCAGCUUGGGAGAAGGCCCCCUUUCUCUCAAGGCACGCCAAAGAGAGUAUGCUCCAUCUUCUUCCAUUUUUGUCUUAGUCAACUAAAAAUCACAAUAAAGAGAUAUUACAUACUUUCUGUUAGACUAUAGUCAUCUCAUGGUCAAAAUUACUUGGGGAUGUACUUAUCUGGAAACCAUUGAAACAGCUUGGUGUCAUCACAUCAAUGCCGACUUAAGCAGAAUUUGUCUAAAUAAGCUACAUGUGCUCAUGUCCUUUUCCGAAAGAUGAUGUCUUUCUUCUUUUACAUACUUGUGCUUUCUUGUUAUGAUGAAGAGCCAACUUGAAUUUCUGCUUGAUUUCAUUUGCAUCUAUGGUGCGAAAUGUAAUUUCCUCUUUUAUAUUUCUUGAAGGGGAUUCAGUCUCUUAAGUAACUAGCGACUCUGUACUAUAAUUCUGAUAAGGGUUCUUAAUGUACAAAAGGAUUGCCCUUGCCUCCCGAACUGUAUUGAGAAAACAUAUAUUUUUUAUAUUUUUUUGGGUUCUUUUAGAGUUUUUGUGAGAUAAAAAAGUUAUUAAUGGUUUUUUUUUAACUUAAAACAUGUAGAUCUUAUAAAUCUACAAACUUUUUGUUGUAAAUAGAGGGUCCUAUUGCAUGAUUAUACCAAUUUGUUUGGCAGUAAAAUGACUUUGACAAUUGCUUCCAUUUUCUUUUAUCAUUUUUUAUUUAGUGAUGGUGGUGUCUUCAUAUAAGUUUUUCUUCAAUUAUGACUAUAAUUUUGUCUUUGUGAGUGUGCUUUAUCAAGUUAAAAUUGUACUGUUGAUUUAUUAAGAUAUUUAUAAUUCUAUUCAUGCUAAAUUUUGUAAAAUAUUGACAUUUGGACUAUUUUUGAAGGUAUUAGAGGCAAUAAAACACUCUGGAACUAUUUUCUAUGAAAAACUAAUAAAGGAAUCCGUGCCGAAACAUGCCAAUGUGCUAGUAACAUGCCAUUGGCACAGAGGGCCAUGCCGACAUUGACACGGAGUGUGCCACCAUGCCGUGUCAUUGGCACAGCGGCACACCCUGUGCCACUUGCACAGCACCAAGGAUUCUCACAUUUUAUCAUCCACCAUGUAAGAUUUUUUUUUAAAUUCUGCUUGGGAGGAUUUGUUUUUCAAUGUGCCUCUCUUUUUCUCUUUCUUCUUAAGCAGGAUUUUAUAGCCUCGACAGUUUCAACAGGAAAAUCUUCUUUCGAAAAAACUCCUGUAUCUCAGAAAAGGAUGCCUGUUGGCAAUGGGAAGAAGCAACUAACAACAUCUCGGAAAAACCAAAAUGUAUCAGGAGGUCCUUCAACACAGAGAUUACAUCCCGGUAUGUCGUCCUCUCAUAAUCGUGCAACAGCUCAUUAUGGUGCUGUUACUGGACUCAGAGCCACUUCAGAUGGCAUGUAUCUUCUAAGCUCAGGUUAAGUUACUUUCUUUACUCUUCAAUCUAUUCUUUCAGGCCUGUUGGUUGCUUAAAUCAUGUCAUGUGCUUAUAAUAAUGCAAUACUCCUUUGAUUCGGGUUAAUCUAAAAGGCAACUUAUAAAAUUGGUUUAAUUUCAUUCGUACCUCUCAAUAGUUUGAAAAUACCAUAUUUACCUUCUUAGAACUUUGAAAUAUCACAGAUUCCCCAUAAAUUCCUUCUUGGAAAGGCAUCUAUGGAAAUUACGAGCACAUCUAUAGGUAAGUUUCUGACAAGGAAUUUGUGAUAUUUUCAAUUUUUGGAGCACGGCAUUGUAAUUAUGGGUUGCUAGAUAUAGUGUACGAAAUUUUUCCUACCAGAUCUGUCAGCUUCUUUCAUGAAAUAGAUAAUGCUGGUUGUUAAAGAGCUUCUUAUGUGUCAUGACCCCUUCAUUCCAAUGAUUAAUUAAGAGAAGAAUAAGACAGAGUGAGACCAGUAGAGGAACUGAGGAAGCAAGGGGUACUAAAGAUAUAGGGAAGGACUCCCAGCCAAUCUUCACAUUAUUCAUUACUUGCAUUUUAUAUUCAGAAGUAACAAAGAUAAGCUAUCUUCCUACUUCGCUAGUAGCAACCACCUCAUAUGCUAACAGCUAACCAAGCAACUCCCGCAAAAGACUCCAACUAACUAUAAAUUCUAAUCCAAACCACUGACUCCAACUAACGAGAAAUUCUUAUCUAGUGACUUCUCCAACAUAAACUCAAGACCCAUCAGGCAGCACAUUGUGCCCAUUUUAGCUAGUGACGUGAGUUGUAAUAUUAUGAUUCCGCUUCAGGUUCAGAUUCCCGUUUAAGGUUGUGGGAUAUUGAAUCAGGCUGUAACACUUUGGUCAACUUUGAAGCUAUGCGCCUCCAGACUAGCAAAGCCAUACAGCUAGCCGCCUUUCAAGAUUCAUCUCUUGUAUUUGUACCAUCCAUGGCGAGCGUAAAGGUUCCAUGGCUCUUUCUUAUCCGUGCUGUUUCUGUGUUUAUAUGCUGAUUAUCUAUAUGAUUUACUUGUUCUUGUUCUCUAUCUAUUUAGGCAUAUGAUAUGUGGUCUGGUACUAAUUUAGGGACCUUCCGUGGCCAUUAUGAACUGGUGAACUGUUGCUAUUUCAAUUUGCAGGAUCAGGUGAGCUUUGUAGCUUUCAUCCUUUGCAUCGUAUGAAUCAGAUGAAAUAGUUUGGAUUGAUCUUUAGGCCUAUCAAAUGUAGGAACUGUAUACUGGGAGCAACGAUCGACAGAUUCUUGUGUGGUCCCCAUCCAUUCCUGCAGUAACUGUAAUGGUGAGGCUUCUCCCUGCCUCUUUAACUUUCAUAAUGGAAAGUCGAGAUGCAUAUGAACUGUUACUGCUAUUCUAUCUCGGUAACUGUUAGGUUUUAUCAAGCAAAUCUAAAGUUGGAUUGUAGAGUGGGUUUUAAUCUUGACAGGGUAUCUUUUUAUGAUUUCCCUUUGAACUAGAGAAAUCAGUUCAAUGUUUUAAGAGAGAGAAGUGAAGAUGAACUCUUUGUCAGAUUCAGUAAUGCUCUAUUUUUAGCUCCGAUCAGAGUUUUACUCUGGAGAAGGGUGAACUUCUAAAGUUCACCUCAUUCUCAGUUAGUCCCAUAAAUAAAUAGCAAAUUUCACUUGUCACUCCUCUGAAAUAUGCAACUGUUCAGUGUUUCUGGUCAUUGUCCAUUGCUCAAACUCCAAGAGUGAAUGUUCUUAACAAGAAUAUAGGUUCACUAUUUCUUCCAGUAAUUAAAAAUCCUUAAUGCAUGAAUCGUGAGCGGCUCAAUAAUUUUCUCAACCCCUAACAUACAUGCAGGAAGAAGAUGACAAGAAAGGGCAGACUUUGUCAACAGACCGAGAUAACUGGAGUGACUAAGAAAACUUCUCGUCUUACAUGAAGAAGCUUCGAAUUUUCAUUCCCCAUUUGUAAAUAUGUUUGACUGACCCCCACCUAGCUUAACAUUAAUGCGAGUUUAUUAAUUAUCAAAUGUUUAGAGGAAAGAUGUACCUUGUAAUGUUCAGGGUGUCUACUAUCCACCUUGUCUUCUUGUUGUACAACAAAAUGGAGCUGAAAGAGACUGUCUCGUUGCACAUUUAUCUUUUCUUUUGAAGUUUUCAGGUGUCAUAUCUAUCAUCUUCUAUUUGAUUACUAUUGUUGUAGAGAUGUAUAACUGAUCUGAAUCAUGUUUUAUUUGUUUAGCUAAUCAGCAAAUGCCAAUAUAGUACGAGUGCUAAAAAUAUUCUGUCUAACUUUUUAUUUCUGCGUGUCCUUGUCACUAUUGCAUUACUUUCAAAACUUGAACUUUUUAUUAUAGCAAAGCUGUAGUAAUAAAUUACGUGAUUUUCGUCUGUGGUAAAUGCAAGCUCUCUUCAGAUGGGGAAUGCUGUAUGUAGUAUACCAGAUUUUUAAUAUAGAAACCAGUGUAAAUAAUAAUAGUAUGAAAUGUUAUUUUUGUUGGAUUUAGAGAAGUAAAAAAUAAUUCUAAAAUGAUUUGCAGUGAAAUUGGAAUAAAAAGAAAAAAGACUUGGAAAUUUUUUUUUUUAGGAACAUGACUUAUACUGCAGCUGAAAAAUUGACGGUGGUGAAAAAUUUUAAAAUUUUAAAAAGUUGUCGAAAUUAUUUGUUAGAUUUAAAGUUUUGUGUUAUUUGGAUCUCCGAGUAAUGAAAAUGAAGGAGGUUAAAUUUAAAGUUGUGUGUUAUUUGAAUCUUCGAGCAGUGAAAAUGAAGUCUAAUUAUAACCUCUUAAAGAUUUUAGUCGGUAGAAAUUUUGGUGACUUAAAAUGGUUUAAAAUUAAAAAGUUAAGAUAACUUAUUUCUGAUUAACUUUAAUUAGAUCUGUACGUUACAUUUGAGCGCAAAUGGAUACUAGACGUAUCUGCUCAGACUUGGACUUAUGUUAGAAAACUUUAGUUGUUAGGGACCUUUCAGCAUUUUGUGGCUUUUAAGUAGCGGUUGCCUACCAUGCGUCCGAGGAUGUUUAUCCUCUCCAUCUUCUUCUCCUUCGUGUACUCGAGAGAGAGAGAGAGAGAGAGAGCGUGCGAGAGGAGGGAUUGUAGGAGGUCCAAGAAGGCGACGAUUUUCUGUCGCAUCAGAUUAGAGGUUGCUAUUAAAAUAUUGCUCAUUGCAGCUAACGUAUAGCGACUCCUAUUUUCGAGCAACUACUCUCCUCAUCGGCCGAUUGGCUGCGCGGUGUCAACGUCUUCGAGGCGCCGAGUUGGGCAGGUCCGGUGUGUAGGGAUGGCGAGUGAGUUGGAUCGCCGGGUCACUGUGAGGAGCAGCGACGACUCGCUCGAGAUAUGCCUGGUCCUCAACGGCAUGUGGGAGACGAGCAAGAGGCUUAGAAAGGAAGCUGAUUGGAGCUUCCAAUCUUCAACCUCAACAGUUGAGCUUGGAUUUAGAACUUGGAUCAAAAUUACUAAUCUUCCCAGACUCCCUCUAACUUGUGGAAAUUGAGAGUAGCGUUUUAGUAUUCUAGUUUUUCAAAAACUAGCUAGGGUUUAUUUCGAGGAUUUUCAAAUGAGGCCUAUAGGGAUGGAAUUGAUGUGUUUAGAAUACUUUUAUAGGUUAGAAUUGUAGCCCCAUUAUCUUGGUUCUAAGGUCUAGCAAGAAUCUCUCGCCUUGAGGUAAUUUUUCAACUAUUUUUUUAAUGUGAUUUUCAGUAAAUUUUGGGAUGAGCUCUUUAAGAGGUUGCAAUAUUUUGGAAAUUUUUCCUUGGAUUAGGAGAGAAGAGGGGAUAAUUUUGAUUGAAAAAACAAACCGAUUUUUGCAACCAUUAUGUGGGUUCGGCCUAACCAAAAUUUGCCAACUCUCUCUACGUCUCUUUCUCCCUUGUUGAGCUUCUACUAUGUUUUAGCAUACUAGUUAGAACAUUUAAGAACGAAUUAGCAUAUGGUUCCAUGGUUAUUUGCAUGUUGAAAUCCAUACUCUAUAAUAAAGGCCAUAUGAUAUAUAAUGUAUGCACUUCAUUGUACUUGAACUUUAUUGUUAGUAGUACCAUUCAUUUGGUGGUGACAUAAGUUAUUUAUCUCCUCGAUAUGUUAUAGUUGAGGUGAGAUAUAUGCUGUCACACCUCGAUGUCGCCACUUUGGUCGGAUUCGGCGCGCCAACAAACCACCGAAUGGUCAGAAUUUUUUCUAUCCGUCCAAGACGUCACAAUCGGUACAAUUCAAGUAGUUCUAAAUAGGAACAGAAUUCAUGCACAGAUUGUAUAAGGAAGGCACAUAAAUAUAAAUACUACGCUAUUAUAAGCAUUCGUCACAUUUCAGAUUACAUUUACAUUCUUUCCUUCCAAAUACAAUCAACUUUAUUACAAUUUUGUUUCUUUUUUUUCUAUACCAUAAGCUAUGCUGACCCAGGGUACAUCUAUCCUCUAGUCUCAAGUAGUAGGGCGCUAUCUACCGAGCUACGGCCUUUUCUUGUGCCGCCGCACCGCUCAUGUGUGAACCUGAAAAACAUGGGGGUGAGAAUUAUAAAAAUAGUUCCCAGUGGGUACGGCCACCCAAAAGAAGAGCUCGACCCUCCAGAUUCUAAGAAGGUAACAUAAGCGAGUUAGUCCAAUAUAUAUAAACAUAUAAAUAUAAGCAGCUAACAAACAUCAUGCUUAUGGUUCAACUAAAUGGAAUAUAAAAUUCAUGCAAGUAGAUCUACCAUUUCUAUUUCACAACCCAUUGCAUUCACAAUCCGCUCCUAAGGUUCUUUUACCUUAACUAAGCUAUACCACCCGACUUAGUCUUGAGUUAAUCAUCAACGGACUACCGAUCACAUCCAGGUCUGAGGAUAGAAAUAUGUUGUGCACCUCAGUCUUCAAUCCACACACCAAGGUGCCCGAUGAGCGGCGAAAAAGCUCUGUACACCUGCGGUCAGGGAUCCCCCAGUGGGAGAGAAACAUGCCACAUACACCCGCAGCCGAGAUCCCUGAUAGGAAGAGGAACAUGCCACAUGCACCCUAGCGCAUGAAGAUUCUUCCGGUAGGAGAGGAACAGGCCAUAUGCACCCGUGGCCAAGAAUCUUCCAUAGACACAACUCUCGAAGUUCUUGCGGUGGGAGAAGGAAUAUGCUACAUGUACCCACGGCCAAGAACUCUCAACGAUCACAAGUCCUGUGAUUCUGGAAUCCACUUUCCAAAUAUCAAGGAUUCGUUACCUACCCUAAAUUGUGAACCUCUCUAGGUUUAUGUUCAUAUAUCCAACCUACGUUCAAUGACACCAGGUUCAAUGAUAUUCCAAUCCAAGUGGUCUUCCUACCAUUAUGUGUCACGUCCCGGGACCGCCUAUUUGGUCGGUUCAGGCGCGCGCAAAGAUCGCCAAACGGACAGAGUCUCCCCUGUCCGUCUAAGGCUAAACAAAACAUGUACAUUGAAUUUCACACAAGAAAUACAACAUGAUACAGUUCUGCACGAGGGCAUCACACAAGAGUGAGAAUUUAAACCUAACUAUUACAACAUUGGGCAUUCACAUUGUACUUACAUUUUUCCACUUAUAUAAUACAUGAACUCCUCAAAAUACAACUUUCGCUCUUUAAUACAUUUGCUUUCCAAAUUACAUUUACAUUCUUACUUAUACAUAGGGCAACCUAAACUGGGUGACCCUGCUUUCUAGGGCUCAACGCUCACGCCUCGAUCCGCUGCCGCUCCGCAAAUGGUGGCUCUGCAACAACAGGGGGUGAGAACUAAAAGAAGUUCCCAGUGGGUUCGGCCGCCGACCUCGCUGACUUUCCCACUAGGUCCAAUAAGGUAUAGUAAUACGAAAGGAAAUAGCAAUGCAAUAUAUAAGUAACUGAACAUGUAGUCUACCACUACUAAACAUACAACAUGCAACAAUGUCUAUUACUAUGCCUUACAAUAAGGAAUGAAUGUCAUGGUCCAAUAUGUUCAACAGUGUCCCUCACACACUCUUGACCCAAUUCAUUCUUGACCAAAUUGGGGCUUCUCACAAGACCAGCCCAACUCACCCCACUCAGCCUCAUAGAGACUAGCUACCGCUCCAUCACUCACUAUAGGCUACUCACGGGGAUAUUAUGAUUGACCCAUCACUCAACCUGUGAUCUCACUAUGCUCACUCUCUACAUAAGAUGCAAUAAUGCAAACUAGCACAUGAUACAAUAUGAUCAAUCAAUCUGUCUCUUUUCUCUUUGACCCAAUCAUACCGGCUAACCCAAAGGUUGAGCCCUAACUCACAACCUAAUCCCACAAAUGAGGAGCACCGCUACGACCUAUUGGGGACCGUCUACUGGGUAGCUACGUUAACCCACCUGAAGAACUCCGAAGACCAAUGCUUGGGUGGAGCAACCACCGCCAAGCUGACAGGCGUAAUGUGAGCAUAAUCCAAUCCUCUAAACUUGAGGAUACUCUACCAACUAAUGGUAACAAUAAUAGAGGACUACCAAUCCCUAGGAUGGUCUAGAGGAUCUAUUUCAAUCCUUCGCAUGCUCAAUAACAUCAUAGUACUAGAUGCGACGCUACAAAUGUAUUGACCCAAUCUUUUCCACAUACACUCGAGAGUUUACCCAACUCAUGUAGCGUGCAUCAAUGCGAUAUACAAACACCACACAAUGUGAACACAAGCAACUAUGCAAUGCUUCAUAAUGAUAUGGUAACUCAAUAUCAUGCCACAAUGCGAUGAUCCAAUUUCGUAUUCAUACUUGAGGCUUUUUCAAUUCAUGCCAUAUCCCUAUCAUGCACAACACAUUAUGCCCAAUCCAUGUUUCUAUCACAAUGUUCACAUUCAAUAUCACAAUGACAAACAAUGUAUCAUUUAUUUCAAUGUCCACAAUAUUUUCUAUGUCAAAUCCACUAGUUUGUUCUCUACUAGUUCAACAUGUCACUAGGGUUCAUGUGUCACUAAUUUUAUGCAUCCUAAGUUCCAAGUUAGUAUCACAAUUAUUUAUAUAUACAUCAUAGGAAACAUGCAAGUUUCUAUAACAAUAAAUAUUUGAACCCUACCAUGCACAAAUAAUACAUGUAUAUAUGCUCAACAAGAGGGAAUUAGACAUAGGGAGAAAUCCAACCAUUUCGGAUAGCACCACCCAUCUCGCUUCAUUACCAAUUGCUAGGAUUUCGAAGCAAUUCGAUUUCCGACGCCGAUUCGCCUUGACUCAUGCCUGACGAACCAAAUUCCGCAAAUCUCUCAAUCAGACGCCGUAAUCUCGUCGUAAUCCAAAACGAAGUUGUCCUUCGCGUCGAAUUAUCCUUUAAUUAAGGUUUUACAAGAUCAAUUUGAUUCAAAACCUCUUAGAGACAAGAGCCCCAUUUUCUAAGCCUAGGUUUCAAGUUCUACAAGGAUACUCUAAAUUUCAUGAUUAAACUUUAACCAAUCUAGUUUAGAAUCAUCUAGAGGUCCUACAUAUCUCAUUUACAAAAGAUUUAAUCUAAACCCUAGCUUAAAUCACAAAACUCACCAUGGCCACCUUGGGAAAGAAGCUUGAUCCACCAUUGGAGAGCUUGCUUCACCACCAAGCUUCUUCUCCAACUUAAUCUCCUCCAACUUCUUCUCUUUAAUGGAGAAAUUGUUAGAAAGAGAGCUAGGGGAGAGGGUGAUGUGAGCUUAGAGAGAGAGAGAGAGAGAGAGAAGACUCUCACACCUCUCUCUCUCUCUCUCUCUCUCUCUCUCUCUCUCUCUCUUGUGUUGGACCAAAACAAAGAGGAAAGAGCCACUUGUUACACAUAUAGCCCCUAACAAUUGCAACUUACAAUUUAGUCCAGUUCAGAAUCUGACACUUUUUGCCGGAGCCCUUCUGAAUGUCCGUUUGCGCCCAAAUUUGAUAGUCAUACUCGGUUAAAAUCAAUAAGAAGAACAUGAUCUUAACUUUUCAGUUUUGAACCAUUUUUUGUCACCGAAAAGUCUACCGACUAGAAUCUCUAGCAGUUAGCAGUCAGAUUUUGUUUUUCACUUUCCGGGUGUCGGAAUGAUAUGAAACUUUAAAUCUAGCAUCAAAAAAAUAAUUCUGACAUAUUCUUAAAAUUUCAUAAUUUUCUGACACUGUAAAUUUUCUGCUAAAAGAUCAGCCCCAUUUCUUACAGAAAAUUCUAAAUCUUCUGUUUUCAUUCCAAUUUCAGCAUAAGUCAUUUUCGACUUAUAUUUUACUUCUUUAAGUCCAAUAAAAAUAGUAUCUUACACUAUUUUUAUUUAUAUUUACUUUUAUAUUCAAAAUCCGGUACAUUACACUAUAUUUUCCAAUCUAAGUUCGAUGACACUAGGUUCAAUACCCAAUCACGUUCUUUCUUUACCCUAGUUGUCCACACCUAGGAUUCAUAAUUUCAUGGCAUCUAGUCCUUUGUUUCACACUUGUCGAGUUGUCUAAUUUUUCUAGAGUUCAGUGAUCCAUGUUCAGUAUCCACAUCUAGACAUAUAUAUACAUAUGUGUAUACAUAUGUAUAGAUAUGUAUAUAGAAUUGAGCUAGAAUACUUUUAUAAGUAUCGCCCCUUUUUUACUUCUAGGUUUCUAGCCCUUAGAUCUACUCCUUGAUUACUAAUAGCCUUUGGAUCAAAUACUAUUCCAGGUACCACCACCUACCACCACCUACCACCAUCAUCCCAACCUUAUAUUUCUCCAUUCAAGGGUUAAAAACUCAAAAGCACCAAUCUCUUGGUGCUUUUGAGAGUAUUCUAGCUCAACUCUAUAUAUAUA
rnacentral:lncRNA from 1 species